rnacentral:lncRNA from 1 species
UUUUUUUUUUUUUUUUUUUUUUUUUUUUGUAUAAAAGUUGGUUUUAGUGCCUAGCUAGUGUCAAACAUCUCAAUUUUCAUGAUUUGCUUUUUUUUUGAAAUUUUAUAAAAUUUAAUCUUUUAUAUACCACAGAGACGCCUUCGUACGAAUAGAACUAAAUGCAUGCCACGUAUACAAAGAAGAAUCUGUAAUUCGAAUACAAAUUACGUGUCAUGCAUUCAAACUUGUUAGUGUACAAAAAAAAUAAAAAAUAAAAAUAAAGAUCCACCAAAUGUGCAAGAAAGGUUAAUUUAAUUUUAUGUUGGUUUGAAAAUCUUUUUAAAUAUGGUUCAAUGCUCAUUCAAGACUAGCAAACAGAAGAAAAUGAAAAACCCAUUAAAUGGUUAUCUUUCUUUCUUUCUCAUCCUACCAUUAAAUGUGAAGUAUACCACAUGCAAGUUAGUUCUAGCUAAUUUUAGGCAUUAAUUACUUACUGAUUAAUGCUACAUUAACAAUAAUGUUAGAUGACCUGAUUUCAAGGUCGUGUUUGUCUGUGCAGUGAUACUGGUAAGCAAGUUAAUGAAGCAUUCUCUUUGUAUGGAUUGCUGGGAUUGCUCCAUUUCCAAACUGGUGCACUGUGGUUUGGAAAAACUCUCACAUUAUUGUUUAUAUUAAAUCCAAAACUUGAGAUCGAAAUCCUACAGAUGUAAGACCGAAUCCUUUUGCUUUUUAUAUUAUGGACAAGUUACAAAUAUGAAGCAAAAGAUUCAGAUCAGAAUAAAAGAAAAGGUAUGAAGCAAAAGAUUAUGGAACGAUUUGACAUUAAAAAAAAAUGCAGGCAUCUUCAUACUGUGAGAAAUGAGAUUGAAAAAAAAAAGAUUAUUUAGCAAUUUUAUAUUCUUUUUUGUUGCUUGAAUGCUGCAAACAAGGGAAAUCCCAAGUCAACAAACUAGUAGUACUUCAUUAAUAUUACGGCUCAAAUUAAUUGUUCUAGGCUGGGCCAAGUUUUUUUUAUAAGCCUCUAUCUAUAACGGGUAUAAUAAUAUGUUCUAGAUGGGUAUAAAUGGUACCUACUUUUUGCUGUGACAUCCCCUCAGGCCCUCACCAAACCUUUUCUAUUAUUUUCUUUUCUUAAUUUGCCAAUUGAUAAUUUAAGACGGGCCAAGUGACAAUUUCCACUCUCCUUUGUCAUUUUUGUGAUGCAAAUUGAUUUAUUCUGCACAAGAUAUUAAACCUUUUGCAUCUUAUUUUAUGAUUUUUUUUUUUUACCUUCCACGAUCUUAUAUUGUCUCGACAUCGGAAUUAUGUAACCCUUUAGUUAAACAGUUGAAAAAGUAAUUAGAUAAAAAAGUAACACCAAAGAUAAUGACUUGCUAAUAAACAAUGGGUUUACAAGCAAGCCAAUAAACAUAGAGAUAAACUACCGAUUAGUGAACUCCAUAAAAGCUAACAGCCUCUUGGGCUGUUAGUAAAAGUUUUGGUGAGGGUCGGAGGUCAAGGAUUCAACCCUUGCCUCUCACCUUGCCACUUAAUUGUGACUUCCUUCUACUGAAAAAUCCCUCCGGCUCCCCCUUCUCUUAAAUUAGAUUAGAGUAGAGUAGGUUAUACAAAUGUUAUCAUUGCGAAAAAAAAAGGAACUCCAUAAAAAACCAGCAGACAAAUUUUGGAGAACAUUUUCAUUUAUUAGAGGAUCCGGUAGCUAAAUAAUCCCAAGUUUUUUGAAUUUAGCAUUGGAUCAAUCUUGGCCCAAGUGUUUCAACCAAGGCUCCAUCAAACGCAAUUGGACUGAUAUGAUGACCAUAAGUUAUCUCUAUAGCUGACAUUUGGGCCGUAGGCAUGCCCAAUAUGGCAGCACUCUCCUCAAAGUAGUUGGAGUAUGUAUCUGAACUGUGUGGGUUUGUGACUGGUUUUAUGGUCCAUUGGAGGAGGAAAGUUUAGUGUAUCUUCUGUUAGCGCUUUCCUGGCGAAACCGUGCUUACCUUCUUGGAAGCUUUUGACUAUUCUUUUGGUCAAAGCCGUCGUGUUUAGCAAGAAAGUGCCUUGCCUUGCACGGCAGUAAUUGUUUACUUUUUCCCAUUGGGGAGUAGGCGGGAUUAAUAUGUUUAUUAUAAUAUAUUAGCUAGAAUGCAUGGCAAUUAAUUACAACUUGUUUUUCAAAAUUUGCACAUGUAACACACAUUAAUCUCCCUUAUCCUUGCUUUAAUGUAUAUGUUAUCAGCGUAGGAAAGAUUAAUUAUUGAAUAAAAUGAGAAUAAUUUGAGUACUGGGUAUGUUUGGAUGGCAAACUAAAAGGAAAAAAAAUUUUUUUUUUUGCCGUAGCAUAGAGGUAUAAACUGUAUUUCAAUCACCUCUUUUUUUUUUAUGUAUAUUUUUAACCACUUUUCCAUUUCAUAUGCUAACACAUCAUAUCACAAAAACGCGAAAGUCAAAUCUUUCCACAUAAUUUCAAUCCUUUAAUUGUAAAGUUCUUUUUGGUCCAAAUUGAAAAUUCAAAGACCACCAAAAAUAUAGGUUCAUUUUAUUUUUGGUCCUUUGAAAUAAUAAAUGAAUGCAAAGUGCAGUUCCCUUUAAAUAGUUUUAUUAAGUACAUUAGUUUACUACCCAUAUUGAACAAAGAUAGUGAGUUAUUACAAAUAUAAUAGUAGAAUUACUAGGAUACCCAAUAUAUAUAAUCUCUCAAUAAAUAAAUUACCUCAAAAAUAAUGCAUAUAAUUUUGAAGGUUUUAGCUAAUAGGUGCUCGAUAAGCACUUGAUAAAAAAGGGAAUUCAGGUGUUACUUUGUCGCAAAAUUUGAGUUAAUUAUUAGGAGAAGUAUCUAAAGGUGCAAUAAAUAUUGAUAUGUGCAUGUAUUCGCAUAAUAAGUUGGGGUAAUUUAGGUUCACUAGUAACAUUCAAAAAAAAAAAUAUUUUUUCAAAUUCAAAGUAAUGGAGACAAUAAUGGUUGUAGAAAAUCCUCAAAACAAAAGGAGCAGAGCAAAACAAAAAAAAAUUCAUGUAGAAACGUGUGAAAUGUUUGGAAAGAACAGGGGCCUUGGUCAUCUUCUUUUUUUUUUUUUUUUUUUUCUGGAAAGGGAACCUUGGUCGUCUUAGAAUAUUCAAAAGUUGAUCAAGCACGUACAAAUUGAACGAGGAAGCCAAUCCACAACGGUCCACCUAUAAACCGCGCGAACCUUAGGUACCGUUUGGAAUUAACGGAAAUAAACGGGAAAGAAAUGAGAGUAAAGGACAGUAGGUUUUAUCCAUCUUGGUUUAGAAUAAAUAUAUUUCCAUAUAUAAAGUAUGAGGAAGGAGUUUGGUGUUAAAAUUUUGUGCCAUUUUAUAGUUGUUUUAAUUUUAUCUUCACAAGAGUAAAGAUUUACUAAAGAUAGCUAACUUAAAAUUUUAGUAACUUCUAACAAUUUCUACUUUCAAUAACAUUUAUUAUUUUAUUUGUUUGCCAAAAACAAUAACAACUUCUUUAUUUUUGCAAAAAAAAAUCUAAUAAUUUUCAUUGGCUUUAGUAAAAACAACUUAAUUGUUUAUCAAUUUGCACACUCAUAGAGUGUGUUUUUUCCAAAGUAGAAAGAAAAGAAAGUAAAUAUUUGAUGUGUUAUUUGGAUUGAGGAAGGAAAAAUUCAAUGAUCACGUAAAUUGAGAAGAUUCAAAAAAAGAAUGUUUAAAAAAAAUUAAUUGUUUCAUUUAAGUUGAUUCCUUUUUGCUCCAUUCCUCCCACUUUUGGAAUGAAUUUUUUUUUUUAAAAAGGAAAAAACUAGACCCACUCCCUACCUAACCUUUCCUUUCCCUCCUUGAAACAUAACGUAAACAAGAAAAUUUUAAAUCCUUCCAAUUCCACUCCUUUCCUUUCCUCCAUUCCUUCAAUCCAAACGGUGCCUUAGAACACCCAACCAAUGCCGUAUUUCAUCUUCCCAUCUUCUAGGCUGCUUCCUUCCAUCUCCAACUCUCCCGGACAGCCCUUCUUAUUCUUAGCAUGUCUCUCAGUUCUAUCACCAAUAUCAAUAUAUACAAACCAUUCCAUUUCCUUUAACUUCCACAAGAAAGCACCAAAAGAAAAGGUUCCAAGCAAUUAUAAUUAUAACACUCGAUACUACAAUUCGGUUACAGAGCUGACUGCAUUCAGUAGCAAUGGCUGUUUCAGAGAUGUUUCAAGGGGCGUCUUUGAUCCCAUCUUUUCUUUAUUCUCCUUCUUCAUUGUCAUCGAGGGGAUUGAUUGAUGGGGAGAGCUCUUUUCUGAUGUCUAGUGCUUCAUUUUCGCCCUCCAAUGUUUCAUCAGCAGCAGGAAAUAAAGAGAUUGUUAAGAGAGAAUUUGUGAUUCCAGCGCCUAAUGAGCCCGCUGAAAAGAUUAAGAUGUUUUCACCGGCUUAUUAUGCUGCUUGCGGGGUUGCUGGAGCGAUUAGUACUGGGCCAACUCAUUCGGCUGUCACCCCUAUUGAUCUGGUCAAGUGUAAUAUGCAGGUAAAUCACUUAAUAGAUGAUGAUGAUGAUGCAUUGUUCCCACCGCCCCCCCCCCCCCUUUGGCUUAUGUCUCAGGCUCUAUUUGUGUUGGAAUCAAUAUAAUACCGUAUCCGUGAAAGAAAUGCGACAAAGGAAAUGUUGUUAGAGCAUUUAGAUUAGCAGUAAGUUCAGGUUUUAAGAUCUUGGUUCUUUAUUGUAUAUGAUGACAAAUUGUUAAUUUCUAUGGUGGGUCAAAAAGAAAAGUUUAGAUGCAUAACUAGAAGUUUCAUACUGAGAAAAAUAUGUAGGUAAAUCAUAUAAUUCCUUUGGCAGUUUGGCCUAUUCGUUGAUCCACUUAUUGUUUGAAUUUGUAAUAAGAUGCAUUAGAUAUAAUAGUUUUGUCUAUUGGAAGAAGAAGUCAUGGUAUGUCACCAGAGAUCAGCCAGAAGACAUCAGGCAUUAUGCAUACUAAAUAUUUAUUGUUCUUCUAUAAAGCUAAUGGUGUAGUAAUUGAAUUAACUUGAUAAUCCUUAUGUAUUCAGAUUGACCCUGCAAAGUACAAGGGCAUUACUUCUGGUUUCAGUGUUUUGCUCAAGGAGCAAGGCGUAAGAGGACUUUCUAGGGGUUGGGUACCAACCCUGCUUGGUUAUAGUGCUCAGGGAGCUUGCAAGUAUGGAUUCUAUGAAUUCUUUAAGAAAUACUACUCUGAUAUUGCUGGUCCUGAGUAUGCAGCCAAGUAUAAGACUUUGAUCUACCUCGCUGGCUCUGCAUCCGCUGAAUUCAUUGCUGUUGUUGCCCUUUGUCCCUUCGAAGCAGUUAAGGUUCGUGUCCAGACUCAACCUGGAUUCGCCAGAGGCAUAUCAGAUGGACUUCCCAAGUUUAUCAAGGCUGAAGGUCCACUUGGGUAAGGUUUUCAUUGCAUGUCAAGUAGUUGAUACAGUUUCUUAUUCUGCUGAUACAUUCUAAAGCCAAUCUUAUAUAUAAUUUAUAUUUUUCCAGGCUUUACAAAGGGCUUGUUCCUCUAUGGGGACGACAAAUUCCAUGUAAGCUUCCAUGUCUAUUUUCUUUCGCUAUCUUUACAUCUUAAUUCUCAAAGUGUUAUUCUUGGUCAUUUGCCUAUUCUGUCAUGGACAUGCUUUGCCAAUUUACAGCUCUAGCUUUCUGAUUUUCUCAAUGACAUCAUUGAAUAUUUUUAGAUCAUCUCCAAUUGCUUUUGUAAUAGUCUUUCAGUCUUAACUUCAAUUAGAGUUUUCAGUAGUGACUCACAAAUGCAGGCUAUUUAUUCAAUCACAAAAUACUAGGCAAUCUAUUUUCCUGAUAGUAUAUUGAGCAACAAGUAUAAUUAGCUUGAAGCUGCCGUGUGCAGAAACUAGUUUCUUCUGCAACAUCUUCAGUUACCGCGUGUCCCCUGCACAGACAUGAGGUUGCAGAUUACCUGCUUUUCAAGUCGAUCCCAAUUUUGAAAAUGAAACGUUAGACUCAUUAAAAAACACACGUACAUUAACUGCAUUAUGAUAUUUUUUUUUUUUUUUUGUAUUUGCAAACCAUGGUUUAUCCUCAGAAAAGGGCAAUUUCAUUUACUAUCACUAUAAAAAAAUUUUUAAGCUCCAUGUUAUGAUGCGAUAUGUACAUUCUUGAUAAUGUAGACUUUAGGUGUUGCAACGCAUUUCCAGUUGUGUGAUUUACUUUGGGAACUUAAUCAUAGGUUUAGAUGAAAGAGUCGGUAUACAUCUAUCCGUUACACGGAAAAUCCUUCUCUGCUACUCUCUAGUUUUCUGAAAAUAAGCAAAUGAACAAUGAGGUUUGGAUAUCAACAAGCAACUUUUGGAAAAAUUAUUCUGCUAAAAACACACAUCUUUUUCCAUUCCUUCUUACUUGGUAGUUACUUUCUAGAUAUACUCUCAGAAAAAUUGGUAGCCUUGUAUUUGCCAAAUAACCAGAAUGAUAUCUUUGCAGACACAAUGAUGAAGUUUGGAUCUUUCGAGACCAUUGUGGAACUUGUGUACAAGUAUGCCGUUCCAACUCCUAAAGAGCAGUGUAGCAAACCUUUUCAGCUUGGAGUUAGCUUUGCAGGUGGUUAUGUCGCUGGCAUUUUCUGUGCUCUUGUCUCACAUCCUGCUGAUAACCUGGUCUCUUUCCUCAACAACGCCAAGGGGGCGACCGUGGCUGAUGUAAGUAAAGAUAUAUAGCAGUAUUACUUACUGCCCUUAGGUUGAAAUUGUUAUCCAUCCUGUGUUAUUUCUCAUAUGAUUUCUGCUACAAUUUAUUUGCUGCAGGCUGUAAAGAACCUAGGCUUGUGGGGUUUAUUUACUCGAGGCCUUCCUCUUCGUAUAUUCAUGAUCGGUACCCUUACUGGAGGACAAUGGGGAUUGUAUGAUUCUUGCAAGGUUGCUCUUGGAUUGUAAGUUACUCAUUAACCUUUGCUUCUGGAGUCACUUGCAUCUUUUUAUGAUCUUCUUCCUGUAUAUCCUUUUCAGCAUUUGCAUUUUCAAGUCAUUAGUCCUUUUCAUGAAUUGAUAAGAUCUCUCUACUUGUGUUUUAGUUCUUUCUCUUGUAAUGAUAUGUUGCUCUUCCUCCUGCAGACCAACUACCGGUGGUGCUGCUCCUCCUGCACCAGCAGCAAGCUUGAGGGAUUCCCUGAUGAUCUGAGAACACAAGUUCCUUAUCUCUGUAGUCAGACAUUUUUUUGUAGGCCAUUCUUUUUAGGGAUAACAUUCAAAUUGAAAAGGUCAGAGCUGCCUUCCAGGUUGGCAUUUGAUCUUCUGGGAUUUGUAAUAUCUUCAAAGGCAUCAUUGUAUUUGCUAAAUCUGUAAUAAUAUGAAAACUAUGUAAUAAUAAGAGUAAACGUUGGAGGAAAAAAAAAAAAUUUUCGAGAAUUUUCUUUCGAAGUAACAAAUGUCUCGUGUCAAAAUCCCAAGCCAGUUGAAAACCUUUACAUGUCCCCAAAGUUCUGCUGUUAGUAGGAGUGGGCAAAAUUGAAAAAUUCUGAUUUAUCGAUCGAAUUCGAAUUGAAUUUGGAAUUUUCAGAAUCGGUAAUUCGGAAUUCGGCAUUGAAAUCAGAAUUUUCGAUUUCGAAUUAUGUGAAUUUGGUUCGAAUUCAGUAACGGAGUUUUUGAAAUCAAAAUUUAUGAUUUUAAUUUUGUUUUAUAAUAUAUAUAUUUAUAGAUAUAUUUAUAUAUAUAAUAAUAUUUUUAUAAUGUAUGUAAUAUAGAAUUUAUAUUAUAUAACAAUAUAUCAAACAAAAAAAAGGGGGAAAAAGGUUUUGAAUUCGGUGAAUUCGAAAUUUAUCGAAUUUCGAAUUGAAUUCGGAACUGGUGAAUUUGAAAUCGAAUUCGAUCAAUAAUUCUACUCCCAAAUUUUCAAAAAAUUCCGAAUCCGAACUUCCGAAUUACUGAAUUCGAAUUUGUUAUACAACACUAGCUGAUAGGCUGGCAGCCGGCCCAACUAUUUCAACUAGGCCCCGCUUGAUAAGACUAAAAUCUGGUGUUCGAAGUUUGAAAGUGUUUAAAGCAUUAAAGUGUUGAAUUAAUAUUAAUAAAAUUAUGCUCCAUUUAGUUGGUUGACAACUAAUAGAAUUAUAGCACUAAAUUAAAAUAUCGCACAAAUAUUAUUAUUUUUUUUAUCUUUUAUUAAAUUGAAACAUUGCUCCGUCUAUUAUCAAGCAUGUUGAAUUCAAAACACUCCAAAUGAAUUAAUUUUCAACAGUAAAUAGAGAGUUAUGAAACAGGCCCUAAGAUUCCAUGUACCAUUUUUUAACUUUACAUAUUUGACGCAAUAGCAGAUCAACAUUUUACUUUGUAUAUAAAAGGUGUGUUAUAGUUUGGUGUAGACUUUUUUUUUUUUUUUUUUCACUUUUUAAAAAGCCCAACUUUACUCUCACAACAAACUUAAUUUUACAUUUCUAAUCUAAUCACAUAACCUUCCAGAAGCCUAUAUUGUCAACCAACACAAUCACAACUGAGUUUCACCUUCACUAUUCAAAUGCUUUUUUUUUUUUUGAGGAACUAUUCAAAUGCAUAUUAUUACCUGCAUAACUACCAAUCAACAUUAUAAUCACCAAAUUAAUUUUAAAAACCUAUUCAGAAAACAAUUAUGAAUCAAGGGUUUUUUUUUCUUUUUAAUGAAACUGUAUACUCAAUUUUUUCAUAUAAAAAAUAAUUUGUUCUAGAAUUGCACAUACAUUGAACAAUAGGGUCUAAAAGAACUCAAUUAUAGAACUUGUCACACGCAUGCUAUUAUGACCCCAUGGAAAUGGGGUAGCAUAACCGUCCUGAGCAGUUAAUGACCAUGAUUUGGUCAAAAAAUUUUGUGCGGUCCUGAUAACAAGUUAUGCAUCAAUUUUCACAUCGUGUGUGGGACCCGCAAAAUUUUGUACUAAAGUUACACGUUAUACAAAUAAAAUUACACCGCUGUUAAAAAUGGCCAAAACCGUUGAGGACGGUUGCACCCUGCCCCUUGUCCAUGACCCCAUGCUCAUUUUGUAUAGACAAAGAAGUUCCGUAAGGUUUCCUGACUGAGUCUGGUCCUUCGGGCUGCCGGUGGAAAUGUUGCUAAAUCUUAUGUCAGCGCUUUAGUGGCUAAACGGUGUUAUACACAAGGAAUUAUUUUACAAAAAAAGUUAUUUAUUUGCAUUAUAAUCAUAUUUUUAAUACAUUUCUUUUAUCUUUUUAAUAUAUUUUUAUCUCAUAUAUAUUAUAUUAUAAAAAAUAUUAUAAUAAUUAUUUUAAAUAAUAUUUUAAAUAAUCUCUUAUCCCUAACAUUUUGUAGUAUUUGUUAACGUGAAUGACAUCCUGUCGAGAAUGUAAGUAUAGUCUAACUAUAUGACUAAAAAAAAAAAAAUUUCCCCCAAUUUUUUUUAUUUGAUUGGAAUGAUGCAUAAAUUUUUCAAAAUGAAAAGAAUUACUGGAGAUAAAAUUGUUCUACAAAAUCCUUCAAAAAGGAACAAAGGGGAAAAAAAAAUUCAGGGACAAAGAAUGAGAAGACUUUGUGAAGAACACGGGGCGUCUGCAAUCUUAAAAUAUUCAAAAGCUAUUCAAACACAGGUCAACAAAAAAGAAAAGUCAAACUCAAAUACGGAAUGAGUGAGGAAGCCAACUCCCUAACGGCCCCUAUAAACCGCGCGAACAGUGGACUGACACCCCUUACAAUCCGCAUCCAAAAGGCCUUGUUAAUUUCAUCUUCCUCCCCUCUUCCCUCCCUCUCCAACUCUCCCGGACAGCCCUUCUUCUUUUUCUUGGGAUUUCUCUCAAUUCUAUCACCAAAUAAAUCUACACAAAUCAUCCCACUUCCUUAAACUUCCCAAAAAAAAAGAGAGUAAAAAGUAAGCCAAAAAACUGGUUUCAAGAAAGAACAACACUUCAGUACUACUAUUCGAUUGCAGAGCUGACUGUAUUCACUAGCAAUGGCUGUUUCAGACAAGUUUCAAAGAGCAUCUUUGAUCCCAUCUUUUGUUUAUUCUCCUCCUUCGUUGUCGUCAAGGGGAUUGAUUGAUGUGGAGAGCCCUUUUCUGAUGUCUAGUGCUUCAUUUUCGCACUCCAGUGUUUCAUCAUCAGCACGGAAUGAAGGGAUUGUGAAGAAAGAUUUUGUGAUUCCAGCGCCUAAUGAGCCCACUGGAAAGAUUAAGAUGUUUUCGCCCGCUUAUUAUGCUGCUUGCACUGCAGGAGGAAUUUUUAGUUGUGGGCUAACUCAUAUGGCUGUCACCCCUCUUGAUCUGGUCAAGUGUAAUAUGCAGGUUAAUAACUUCAUUCAUGACGAUGCACUGUUUUAUUUUUAUUUUUUCAUUCUCCUUUUCGGAUUAUCUGUUAGGCUCUAUUUUGCAUUGGAAUCAAUGUAGUAAGGGUGUCCGUGAAAGAGAUGCGAGAUAAGGAAUUUUAUUAGAUUAGGUAGAGAAAUUAUACUAAGCAGUAAGUUUAGACUAUUAGAUCUUGGUUCUUUAUUGUAAUUGUUAUUGAAUUUUAUACAUUUUAUUUUAUACUAUAUUAAGUGAGAAAUAUACUUGCGAUAUAUUUACAUUUAUCUUGUAUUUAGCAUUUUAUCAAUGAUUCCAAAAUGUAAGAGAAGAACUGAACUAUCUUGAGCACCAAAAAAAAAAAAAAGCCUUUUGGGGAUUUCUUCAUUUACCUUUCCCUUCCUUUGCUGAAGGUAAUAGCUAUCGUUACUUUGUUAAUGCAUUCUCAGUUCUACGUUUGUACAUGAUCAGAAGCAGUUGUUUUCUCUGCUGGAAAAAAAUGAUUAGAUGCAAAAAUUGAAACAGAAAUUUCAUGUUGUGCAAAUAUGUAGGUGAAUCAUUGUUAUAGGAGUACUUCUAAAGCCAUGCCAUUUGCCUCUUUAGUGCUUCUAAUUUGUGUGGCAUAAUCUUUAAUCCACUCAUUGUCUGAAUUUGUAGUAAGAUGCAUUAGGUAUCUUAGUAUUAUAUAUAUAAAAAAAGAAGGUAUAUUAGUGUUUGUUUUUUGGAAGAAACAGUGGUGGUAUGUCACCAGGAUUCAGCCAUAAAACAUCAUGCAAUUAAUUAAAUCUUUAUUGUUCUUCUGUUAAGCUAAUGGUGUAGUAAUUGAAUUAACUUGAUAAUCCUUAUGUAUUCAGAUUGACCCUGCAAAAUACAAGGGCAUUACUUCUGGUUUCGGUGUUUUACUCAAGGAGCAAGGUGCAAGAGGUUUUUUUAGGGGUUGGGUGCCAACCCUGCUUGGUUAUAGUGCUCAGGGAGCUUGCAAGUUUGGAUUCUAUGAAUUCUUUAAGAAAUACUACUCUGAUAUUGCCGGUCCUGAGUAUGCAGCCAAGUAUAAAACUUUGAUCUACCUUGCUGGCUCUGCAUCUGCUGAAUUCAUUGCUGAUGUUGCCCUUUGUCCCUUCGAAGCAGUUAAGGUUCGUGUCCAGACUCAACCUGGAUUCGCCAGAGGCAUAUCAGAUGGACUUCCCAAGUUUAUCAAGGCUGAAGGUCCACUUGGGUAAGGUUUUCGUUACCAUGUCAAGUAGUUAAUGCAGUUUGUCAUUCUCCUGAUACAGUUGAAGGCCUCUUUUAUGGAUUAUAUAAUGUUACUCAUAGAUAAUUAAUUUUUUUUGCAGGCUUUACAAGGGGCUUGUUCCUCUAUGGGGACGACAAAUUCCAUGUAAGCUUCCUUGUUUAUACUCUUUCAUUAUUUUUAUAUCUUGAAGUGAUAUUCUUCGCCAUUGCCUAUUCUGUCGUGGGCAUGCUUUUGCCGGUUUAAAGCUUUAGUUCACUUUUUCUAAUGAACUAUGAUCCAUUUUACUCUGCGUCUUAACUUGUAGUAAGGUUUUUAGCAUUCACAACUGCAAGCUAUUUCCAAUACAAGAAUACUUCCCAGUCUAUUUUGCUGAUAUUUUUCUGUAACAAGUAUAAUUAGCUUUUAGCAUGAGGCUUUCAUGUGCAUGCCAUAAACAGUUAUCUUCUGUAACAUCUUUAUUUGCAAAAAAUGUGUUCCCAUGCACAGACAUGAGCUCGCUGAUAACCUGCCUUUUAAGUUACGGUCAAAUUUGACUUGAAAUUGAGAGACUCAAUUGACAUAUAAAUUAACUGCAUCAUGUGUUUCUGUUUAAUUUAUGAUCAAAUUUUAUCCUGAGAAAAUGGCAUUAUAUAAGCUUCCAGUAAAAAUUCAUUAUUUAAUCUCUACAUUAUGAUACGAUAUGUACAUUCCUCGCAUUGUAGAAUUUGGGUGUUGAAAUUGCAGUUGCACCAUUUGCUAUACAAACUUUAUUCUUUGAUUUUGAUGGCAGAUUAAGUGUACAUCUUUUAGUAUAAUGGAACUCCUACUCUGACAGCUAUGUAAGAACAUUAAGUCCUAUUCUGUGAGCUUGAGUAUUGAAAAGCAUUUCGCCCUGCAUUACAUAAAUAGUCACUAGAUAUAUCCCAGGCAAAGUUUGGUUCUUGAUAUAAAUAUCCAAGAAAGGUUGGCAAUAAUUGGAAUGGUACUUUUGCAGACACAAUGAUGAAGUUUGCAUCUUUUGAGACCAUAGUGGAAUCUUUGUACAAAUAUGCCAUUCCAACUCCUAAAGAGCAGUGUAGCAAAUCCUUACAGCUUGGAGUUAGCUUUGCUGGUGGUUAUGUGGCUGGCAUAUUCUGCGCUAUUGUGUCACAUCCUGCUGAUAACCUGGUCUCUUUCCUCAACAAUGCCAGGGGGGCAACCGUGGGUGAUGUAAGUAAAGAUUUAUCACCAUCCUUAAAUCGAAAUUGUUAUCCUUCCCCUGCAAUUUCUUAUAUCAUUUCUGCUACAAUUUAUUUGCUGCAGGCUGUAAAGAACCUAGGCUUGUGGGGUUUGUUUACUCGUGGCCUUCCUCUACGUAUAGUCAUGAUUGGUACCCUCACUGGAGCACAAUGGGGAAUCUAUGAUGCUUUCAAAGUUUUUGUUGGAUUGUAAGUUCUCUACUUUUGCUUCUGGAGUCACUUGCAUCCUUAAUUUUCUCUUUCUGUAUAUCCAUCCAUUUUCAGCAGAACCAUACACAAGUCAUUGGUACUUCUCAUUAAUCUUUAACACAUGUAGUUGCAUUUAAUUUCUUUUUCUUAUAAUGAUACGUUUCAUGAAAUGUUGUUGUUGCUCCUGCAGACCAACUACUGGUGGUGCUGCUCCUCCCGCACCAGCAAAAGCUUGAGGGAUGACCUGAUAAUUCACGAUCAUAAGUUCCUUUCCUUUCUGUUUCAAUCAUUUUUUCGAUAGGUCAUUCUUUUUAGCAAAAUCAGUUAAAAGGACGAAGUUACCUUCGAGGAUGGCACAUGAUCCUGGUGGGCUGUGAAAUCUGUUCAAGGCCUUUCAUUAUAUUAGUUGCCAUUCUCAUAAGUUUUGUAGUUAUAACUUUUUUUUCCUGAGGACGAGCUUCAGUCACCCUCCAAACAACAGAAGGCUUUACUUACAAGCUGUAAAGUUCAGUGUUUGCUAUCAGUUAUAUAGAUUUGAUUUGACAUUGCAUUCAUUUUCUCCUUGGAAUGCCUAAUGACUUAACAUUCGACAGAAUGAAUUCCUCGAUGUAGUAUAAUUUUGCACGACACCAUAUGCAAGAACUCCCCAACUCAACUGUAGGUUUUUCAAUGUCUCAACAUUCUUGAGAUGUCUAGGAUUUGCUACUUUUAGAACAUCCCCUCAAUCAUACUACAUAAAAGUUCCCUCGGCUCAGUUGGACCACUCCCUACAAUAGGCUCCACCCCACCCCACCCCACUCCUCGAGCAGAAGUAGAAAUAAACUAGAUUAGGUUAAAUGUGCCGUUACGUAAACAAAAAAAAAUACUACAUAAAGGUGAUUCUGCAAGCUUCUUCUAUGUUACCCUUACAAGAGUACAGUAAUCCAACCAUAUAAAAAAUGUUCUGUUUUAGGUUUAUCAUCAGAUAUUUUAAACUGUUUUACUAGAGUACCAUUUAUGAUAACUAUCAAAACAUGACCCGACCCAUCUACCCAUUUUCAAAACUUCUUUAACAAAUUAUUCAUCAAAUGUAGAACCAAUUGUUAUAAAAAUAAUUUUUACAAAUAACGCGCGUUUGUUUUGGGUACAAAAUGUCACGGGUUCAAAUCCUGUCAUCCCUACCUAUUACUGCUCCUUUGAGCAGUAACGAGGGAUCGACUGAGAUCGAUUCGAAUUGGAUAUAAUCUUUCAUUUUUGUGUUUAUGAUACUAUCCAUACAAAAAGUAUUGGGGUUAUAAAUAAAUCCUUUUCUUUACAGCCUUGUCUGUUCGGAUAAAAAAGCGCUCUUAGUUUAGUUCGGUAGAACGUGGGUCUCCAAAAUCCGAUGUCGUAGGUUCAAAUCCUACAGAGCGUGGUUUUUUUAUUCUUAGAUCUGAACUAGAUUCAGUAACAACUUGGACAUCAAUUAGGAAUUUGACCCCCUAUGGAUUAAAUAAAAGAAAAGGAGGAGGUCAAUCAAAAAAAGAUAUAUUAAUUAAUCAAAGGGUAAUAAGGUUAUAAGGUAAAAAGGUCAAAAGGGUUUCCACUAUUUUUUUUUUUUUUCAUUCCACGGGACAAAACUUUGCCUUUCCAGCUAUGGGAGAGAAUAACAGCAAAACCAAUCUUUAGAUUUUCUGUCGUCUAAUAUGCACCUACUACUGUUUGAGGUCUAUAGGGUACAAGGCAUCAAAAACAACUCGUGCGAAGACAUGACGAACUUCUUGUAGGCUUCCCAAAGCCAACAACUCAUGAUGAAUCUUGCUUCCUUGCUUUGGCACAAAUCCCCUCUCUUUUCCAGCUCGAACACAUUCAAAAAUCUUGCACACCUUUAGAUAUAGAGCUAAUGGGAUAAAUACCUGCAGGGGAAAAGUAAAAAUAUUUCAGCAUUGGUCUCACCAACUCAACAAUUGGAGCUCAUGCCUCUAGUUUGACUAAUACCAGAUCAUGCCCGUGCAGAACAGACUUAAAAACACAUUGAUUUACAAUAUUGACUUCAGUGAAGCAUCUAAGACUCCCAAAUCACCAUUCAAACCCACAUGAAACUCGUAGACGAGCUUCCACUCAGCAAAGAAGACAGACAUCAUAUGCUUGAGGGAGAAAAAAGAGGAUUUACUGCUUACAAUAUCUGAAUAUGGUGCCUUGGGAUAUUGAGCCAUUGCCCGCGAAACAGAGUAUUCGUCGGUCAUAUUAGCAAGUGUGUCCUGAACUAAAGCAGCCAAAUGCUUAACUUCUGCUACUAAAGAAUCGAAGUCAAGAUCCUGAGGUUCUAAUAAUUCAACGAAAUUGGUAUCAUGCCGUCUUGUGAUCCUUUUUGCAAUAUCUGAUGCUUCAGACAAAUCUCCCCCAUUGUUAACAGCAAGGCAGAAUGCAGCAACUACUGAAGGGUCACUUGGGUGAUCAAACAGUGCUCUGUGGAAUACUAAUAAUGCAACCCUGGAACACAAAGAUUUCAUAAGAGCUCAUUGCAGGUCAAGUAACAAGAUCCUAAGCCUUUUAAUGCAUUCCUCCUCCACCACUACACCUUCCAUUAACAUAACAUUUUCUACCAGGUACUUUUCCGCCGACACUCAUAAGACAUCUAUCUAGUAAAGCAAGACAACAUGAUCUGCACUCUCAUACACCAGCUGUAUAAAAAUUCUAAGAAUUUGAAACGAUGGCAUGAAAGGAAAAGAAACAGAGAGAACUUCUUUUAUUCAAAUAAAAACUAAUUUGAAAAAAUGAGCCCUCGCAGGAAAUCUGCAGUUUAGUCCACACAGGUUUGAUUUCACCCCAAUUGGCUCCUAUAUUAUGCAAAUUAGACAGUUUUAGUCCAUUAACUAUUUGAUGCUCUUUUACUGAAGAUUCUUGAAGGUUGGGUUUGUCAACAGCAAACCGAAUGGGAAAAGGCAUCUCUUUACCAGCAGCUCAUGUUUUAGAUUGAUAAUUAAAUUAAUUAUUUAUCAUACACGUUAUACUAAACCACAAUAAUAUUUUCUAUUUGUAUAAAAGCUAAUAACAUUAAAAUUAUCAUUUGCUACCAUAGAAUGCAAUAACUCAGCUAAAGCGCUUAAUAAAAACCUUACCAUAAACUACUGUGACAAGGCCUGUCAGGUGCCAAACAUUUAUCCAGGCUGGAAAAUAUAGACUGCAGGAAAAUCCACACAAAAAAGUCACAUACAUGUAUCCAUGUGUAAAUGAAUUCAGGAACAAAAAGCAACCGAAAAUCACGACAUACCCAUGCGACAGACACAGAAGUGGGAAUAGCUAAAACUAGAAGGUGGGCCAUCGUUUACUUUGUUUCUAUUGCAUAGUGUAUUGCUAUAUCAUAUGAUAUAAUCAUAUUGGAAUCAUGCAGUCAAUCAUUUUUCCACCCGAAAAGGGUUGUCAACAUCAACAAAAAUUAUCAGACAUUUAUACGACACUGCAAUUAGGCAUCUAGCAACAGGCAUAUUAUAUUUGAUAUAGUUCAAAAAAACUCCUUUUUUGCAUACUGCAAAGAGUGACAAAAUAUAUAUAAGUCUAAAAUAAUUCUAGUGUUCAUCAAAAUCAAAAAGUGCUCAACAAGUUGAACAGAAGUCAAAAGGAACGAGUAUAAUAUUUUCUUGUAGUCUGUAACUACUCAAGAAAUGAGCGCAUGCCAAUUUUUCUUUCCAAAGAACCCAGGAAAUGUUUUCAUUAGCCUUUGUACAAAAUCAAAAUUGAAAAAUAUAGUUCAAAAGGGCAUUUUCAAGGAAUUGGUGUUGCCAAGUCUGCAGGUCAAAUCCAACACAGGGAUAAAAAGUUGGAGAUGGCCUUUCCACAGUAUUCCAAUGUACCAAAUGGGCUAUUAACUUCUAAAACUGCGACACUAGAAAAAGGGACUAUAUGUUGUCAAAUGAAAAGAUAACAAGCCGCAUUGAAUCUAUAUAAAGGCAUUAAAACUUCAAGUUCCCUUGAGUCUUCAUUCUAACUCUAUCAGGCAGCAGGUAGUUUCAAUUCCUAAGCAGCUUAAAAAAUUGACAAAAUCCAUCUGAGUUAUAAGGUUUGAAAACCUCACCCACAAAAUAAGCUUGCAUCGAGAAUGAUACUAUUUUAGAAAGAGCAAGAAACAAAUGGUAAAACAAUUUGUAAAUGUUAAAGAAGAUCCUAAAAAUUUCUAAAAGAAAAAAGUACCAAAAGCAUGUUGGACCUCUUGUCGCGUCUACGGAAUCCACUAUCGACAAAAUAGGCUGCCUGCAUUUUGAAGCUGCUUUAGAAAUAUGCUUCCCAUGGAUACACCUAAAAUGUUGGCAACUUCAAAUUUAUACCUGUAUUGGUAAAAGAAUUUCCAAAAGGCCGAAUCUCCAUAAUAACCUUAACGAUGAUUCUGCAGAACCAUAAGCUAACAUGUAGUUCAUCUCCAUAAGGAGCCUUCCCUAGGAAAAAUUGGAAUUAAGAAAGAAGUCAUAAUACAUUUCGAAGUGAAAAAAAAAAAUUAGAGAAACAAAUAACAUGCCAAAAACACAUUCCCAAUACCCUGUCCAGCCUUAGAAUUGAAGAAGUCAACUUUUUAACAGAAAGAGCCGUGUCCUUUGCAAAUCGAAAUUGUAAACGUGCACCAAUUCUAAUAGCACGGAGAAUGCGAGCUGCAAACGUAAGCAGAAAUUACAACCAAUAAAAGGAAAAAAAAGUGAGGCAGAAAUGAUGCUGAGGCCAAAGACUAACGUGUUGAGUUCCAAUGUGCAAAUUCAGAAAUUCACAAUGAUUUCCAUAGAGAUACUUACCACAAUCUUCAGUCAGAGAAAAACUAGCAGGAAUGAUAGUUCGCACCUACAAAAGAAAAUGUGAUGUUAGAUCACUGUGUAAGGGUGAAAGUUAGUAGAUGAGAAAAAUGAAACUCCUCAGAGAUACAUGCACACUUUAGCUUUCCUAAUGUCUUCCACUCCUCCGAUGUAGUCAUAUAUCAACUUUGCAUAAGGGUCAAACAUCAAUCUGCAAAAAUGAAAAAGGAGUAGAAGGGGGUUUUAGAUAUAAAAUGGAAGUAAAGUAGCAAAUUUGAAAAGUCCUCAGUACCCUCAGCCUACCCCAAAAAGAAAAACUGCAGGGGGGUGGUGGGGUGAUUCUUCUGACAAAAUUUAUACUUAUAUUUCAGAAAGUAAUGGUCAAAUCCAAAACCCGUUUAUUGUGAAGUCUCUUUUCAAGCAAUUUCUCCAGCGAAUGUAGUCUUUCUCGUUACAUCCGACAGGCUUUUCAAAAACCAAACUGAAGUCCCUUCUAGAAUUUCUUCCACAAGUGCUAAAGCUUGAAACCUGUUUUAUUGAAAUUAAUCUGAAUUAUAUCAAGAACAUUUUAUUGAAAAAGUAUAAAUGAUACAUAAAUAGCUGAUAUACUUUGUCGCUUCUAAUAAAAAACCAAAUUGUCAAACCUCUACAAUAUUGUCACCAAUAUGAACAUGGCAGAUAGGAAAACGUUUCCCAAUUAUUUCACAUCGUGAAAAUGUUCUCAUCACCUGCAAAAUGAAGGCUAUUAUCACAGUGCAAAUUUUUUGUUACUGUAUUGACAAAUAAGUACAUAGAGGGAGCUAUAUUGGCAAAACUUAUUCUCUAUGUUAUGAAUGCAGUAUUUUUAAAUUCAGUGAGGACCUACAAAUAGAUCCUCAAAACUUCCACAAGGCUUGGAAAUAUUAGCAGUUCAACAUAUAGCCUAUUCUUUCAUUGCACAGCAAUUGUCUAGUUUGACUACUCAUGGUUUUCCAAGAGAAAGAAUAAGCCGUACUAAACAAUGACAAAUCACCAACAUAUGACCCAGAAAACUUUCAGAACCAAUGCAACUUUUGCAUGUGUGUAAAUUGUAAAGCAAGUAAAUGGUACUCUCCAUUUUUGAGAAGCAGAUAUUAUUUCGGAUAAUCAAAGCAUGAGAAUUGCAUUUAAAUUUGAGAUGGUACCCAAUAACAUUUUUAUUUCUGACAUUAUGCUGUAAGAGGUAAAUCCAAAAUUUUCCUGGCACAUCACCAAAUCCACAUUAUAUCCAUAAGAGUCUGGGGGUCAACUUAUCAGCCUUCUGGUACCUUGGCUAAGGCAAGACCGACUAUUAAAAGCCCACUAGAAAAUAAGCUGAAUGGUCAUGAACAGAAUGAAAACCAGAGGAAAUGAAAAUCCAAGAUCAAGAGAGUGAUGCCCUACAGGAAAUCAAGCCAUUCUUAUUGAGCUAAACUUGUUUUUGAAAGUCCACUUCCUAAUAUAGAAUAUACAAAGUUUGAAAAGCCCAUUGGUAUUAAUCACAGAAAAAAUGGCCGUUAGCAAAGAAAUACUCCUUGUCUAACAUGAUACAAGGAAGAGAGAAGUCAAGACUAACCUCUUUAAGUUCAGCUGAAGUAAUGAUAUCGAAAUCCUUUGGAGUUUUUCUCAAUAUAAGAUCCCUUACACAACCUCCCACGAGGUAAACUUCAAAUCCUACAAUAAAUGUUAGGAGGAUUUCCUUAGGAAAACUAGAACAGUACUGGAGAACGUGUGUGCUUUUAUCAAAUGAUACAUCACCACACACAUAUGCAGACAAAGAAAAAAAAAACAAAUAAAAUACCAGGAAACGGAGUGCUCUAUUCAUGAUAUCAAAUGUCGAAAACAACACAAAUAAAACUGAUGAAACCUAAAACUCUAUAAUCACCCCCGUCCACCCUCACCCCCCCAAAAAUAAAAAAAAAUAUGACAUUCAAUUGUAAUUCCUCUCUCUCUCUCUCCGUGUGUGUGUGCAUUUUUUUUUUUUAUAAAAAUUUUGACAAAACAAUUUCCAAACAAUUUCCACAAUUAUCAUCUAGUGUAGUGUCAGUUGAUGAUCCUAAAAGCCGAACAAGUUGUCGGAUUCUUUCAUCUACAUAGCAAUAGUGAAUCACACUUGAACUUUUUUACCCCAGCAAAAGUCGUCAAGAUCAAAUUUCUGAGCUAGCAAUGUCCAUUUGAAUUCAUUCUAACACUUGAACUAUAAAUUCCCAAUACAAUACAAAGCCCAUUUCAGUUAUACGCACAAAAUAGUCGCACCUUUUCUUUUGAGACCAUUAAGAACCGCCCUCGUUGGCCUUGGAAUCAUCGAACUACGAAUUCCGAGGUCCGCAGAAUUCAACUUUUUCCAUUGGGAUGCCUUCUGACCAUCUCCACCAAUCCUUUCACUAUCUUCAUUUCCACCAACCCAACACAAAAUCAGGGGAAAAAAAGACAAAAUAAAAACUUCACAAAGAACAAAAACCCACCAAUGAAAAAAAAAAAAAAAAACUAAUCAUACAUAACCAUCAUUGAGAAUUAAAAAAAAGAAGAAAAGUUUAAAAAAUUACUUCUCUGGUUUUCUGCCUCAUCAAUUGUCUCCAUUGCUGCUGCACAGCUCAAACGUACCUACAGAAAUUAAAAAAAAAAAAAGAAAAGAAAAGGGAACAAGAACAAAACUUUAGCAAUAAUUAAAGAUAAAAACAAUUAUUAAAUAAAUAAAUGAAAAAAUACAUAUAUAUACUACUUGAUGAAGGCAAAGGCGGAGAGGACAGCGGAGGGAGAUAUAAGGGCGACAAGAAUAUCCGAAAGCAGUAGAAAUUGCCAUUGAUGAAAUGUGUUUUUUUUUUUUUGGGGUUUAAUCAAAAAGACAUUUCUAAGCAGUAGAAAUUGCCAUUGAUGAAAUGUGUUUUUUUUUUUUUUGGGGUUUAAUCAAAAAGACAUUUCUUUCCUUGUUUUAGUAGGAAUUCAAUUUAGGGGGAAUCAGGGUUCAGGGUUUUAGAACAGUGAACUACUGAAAGUAAAGGAAAGUUUGAAAUUUUGAUGAAAAGGGAGAAAAGGGAGAAAAUGAAUUGGAGAUAAGGUUUAAGGAAGUGAUUUGGGCUUUGAUGUUUUUUCUGGGGCUGGAGAUGGGCUUGACAAGAGUUAAGAAAACUGGUUUUUAAGCACCUUGGGCUCAUACUAUUAUGGCUUUAGGUGUAGUUGCGUCCAUUUCUAUAUUUGACUUGGGCUUUUAAAGUUGUUUGCCCAACUUAGUGAAGUGUGUUUUGAGUGAUUCAUUGCAAUCUGGGCCUCCAUCUCGCCCACGAAGAGAAUUGGUCCUCUAUGUUUACAAGCUAGUUCCAACCAGUCUAGACAGUUGGGAUACGGGGUUUAGGCAAGUGGAAGUGGAAUCUCACUCUUCGCUUGCUUGGAAUUCAUCUCAUUCAGGAUGUGCCAACACAAGUUAAUUCAGUUAUGAAUUGAAUUAGGUAGUAAUGUAAAAGGAAUUAUAAAUAGAAAAUCUUGUGUUCAAAACAUUUCACUUAUUUAAAAAAAAAAAAGUAGGCUCAAUUGGUAAAGAUGAGCCACUUUCUUAUAAAAGGUUACAUGUUUAAAUAUUACUGCUAACGUGAGAGCUGUAUUGGUACAUGAUCUGUGAAAAUCCUUGUAAAUGAUCUCCCCCAUAAGUAACCUAUAGUCUUGGAAGCAUGCCUUAAUCUAUGAUGAUGACUGGAGUCGAAUAUACACGAACAUUUUAUAUAUAUAUAUAAAAAAAAAUUAGAGAUGUUGACAAGGAUCAUAUAGUCAUUUCAAUUUGGCAGGGAAAGUUAGAGAGUAAAUGUAUCAAGAUUGGGAAUGCCAUUAAAACGUCUUUGGCACAAAGGUAACAUGUGUGCAGAUAUUCUUGCAAAGACUAUUCUUAAUUUCUAGUUGGAGUUGCACUCUUUUCAGAUCCUUUUGAUGUUAUCAAAUCUCUCUUAGGAGCAUAUAAUUAGAUGUUGGUCAUAUUAGCGAAUUUUAGCUGUCUUAAGGCAUUCCUUUUGAUCCCCUAAAAAGAGAAAAAAACAUUAUAGGUAGUGAUGAAUCUGCCAAAUGAGUAUGAUUUAUUUCUACUAACAGUACCUAAAGUUUAUCUUAGACAAUAAAUCCAUGACGCAUGUUCAAAAAAAUAACGCUUAAAAAUUUUCUUAAAGGUUGAAUCAUCUUACACCCUGUGAAAUUGCAAGUUGCAACUAAAGUACAAAAUAUUUCUCGACCGAAAAUGAAAGAUGUAAAGUGCAAAACUAACAGAUUCUCACAUUGAAUUUUGUGUAAAAGGAGACAUUGUUAAACUGGGUAAAAGGCAGAAUCGACACAAAAGAAACAAAGCUAAGUAUAAGAUCUACCACCCCUAAGUCCUCACAGGAAUUUGUGGUAAAAUGUUACCACGUCCCAAAAAACCAAAAAGAUCAGAAGAGCAAAGCAAGAAAGGAAAAAGACCCGUGCGCUGAAAGGACUGAAAAAUUAGGCUCAACUAGAAGACUGUCACCUUUCACCUUUGUUGUUUUUGAAUUUUUCUUUGUGGUAUCCAACUGUUUUUCCGUUAGUUAUCAUAAAAAAAGAAGACCAAAGUACGAAAGCACGGAACUUUUUGUUCUUUUCGAAAAACAAAAAAUCGUUUUGAUAUCUCUCUAAACUUGUAUCAUUAUCAAUCAAAAUUGACAUGCUUGUUUGGUCAUUCUUCUUUUACGAUAAAAAUUGAUUUCCCAGCCAGCUCUAUUCAUGUUGCAUGCGACUUCCAAGUUGCAAUCACAAGGACAACAACAUUUUUUUUGAAUAACAACAUUGAAUCUGCAUUCCGCGUACUAGGGAUAAGAUUUAUAGCUGCAUGCAUUCAUGAAAGAUUGAUUUGACGGCUUGAAAUAGUUUCAUCUCUUAGGACCAUUUUCGUUCUUGAUUUUGGCUGCCUUUGAAGGCAAUUUCCCAGAAGAAGAAUUUGUGACUAUAGUUUUGUCAUAUAUAUGUUUUGGACCACUGUCUAGAAUAUUUUAGGUACGUACGGGCAAGAAAUAUUUGCUACCUUCUUUCAAAUCAGAUGUAUGUGUUUGUUCCUUCUUUCCCAUCAAACAUGUCACGAUUUUCUUUCCAGAAAAAAAAAAAAAAAAAAAAAGCAACUGCUAGGGUUCUAAUUUUCAAACAACAUCAAGAUACGGAGAACAUAAGCUAGGCUAUACAGAUGAUACCUGAAGAUGCUAGUAAUGGAGCAAUGGAGGUAGCAUGCUAGUUGAAAGCUAUUCGACUAUAGUAUCUUUAGUUUCAAUCCAAAGAUAAUAGCCAGUAAUUAACAAUAUUCUGUACUUGAUUGGCACAGAGCAGGCAGGUCAAUGAGCCUCUAGAUGGACAAGAAUAAAGAUCAACUGCAUGAUGGAAAAUACUGCUUAUGUCAACGUCUAUUUACUCCUCUAGCUAGCUUUUAAAUCUACAAAGAAAAAGUUGUGGAAUACGCACUUGUUAGCUUUGAGAGGAUAAUGGUAGACUUGUUUGGGAAAAAAAUAAGUGAACUUGAAACACUUGAGUAUAAGAUUCUCUCUUGUUGCAUAUCAUCAGUGGAUAAGAUUCUCACUUGGUUGGUUUCAGCCCCUCUAAAUUGGAUAACAAUAUGUAAGUAGGAAAAAAAAAAAAGGGACAGAAUAGACUGCAAACAAUAUAAGUAGAAACUCAAGUCGGAGUUUUGUUAUUAAAUGUUCAUGAAUGAAUUUUGGACGGUCCAAUAGGUUCCAGGCACUUGACAUUUGCGCAUGAAAUUUCGUUAUCCAAGGAGAAUUUUGUGUUCCUGCAGCAAACGCCAGAAAUGUUCCAUCAGCUGGAUGCAUAAAUCUACUUCUUGUCCAUGUCUGUGUAUAGUUGUGUGCAUGGUGGCUGCUAAGAGUUGGUUUCCAAAUUGCCUUUCUCCCUUAAAUUUUCUAUGCAUAGAGCUUUUCGUAUUCGUACGCAUCCACUGGAUGUUACAACUUGAAGAAAUUGGUAGUAACAAUUUACAAGUGAAUUUCCUUAGCUAGAGAUUUUGAUGGAUGAAUAACUAACAAGUUAAGAAAGAAAAUUCUGGGCAUAACUUGGAAGUACGUGAUAUUAGGAAAAACUGAAAUGAUGUAUGGCUGCUGCAUUAUAUUGACAGCACAGGCAUGUGUGAUUAGCUCAUAGGUGAAGAAGCUUGGGCACCUUUAGGAGGGCCUGAAGGGCUGAACUCAAGUUGGGCUGCCCCGUUACUUCUCCUACUGCACAAGCUAUCUCACGUUAAUAAUUUGUGGAAGGCCAAAACUAAAUUUGGUACAAUAAUAUGAGAAAGAAAAGUAUAUAUAUAUAUAAAAAAAAAAGUUAAGGUAAACUUUGUCUCGUACUAUGCAUCACACUCACUAAGAAUAUAAUGGUAGAAUUUUUUUUUUUAAUUUUUUGUUAGUAAUUAAGAGUGACAACAGCUGAUAAAUCGAUUUUCUUACUCAUGCAUGAAAGGAAAGAGAAACUAGAUUAGUUGCAUUCGAUUUGAUAUUGGUUCUAUAAGAUUUCGAUUGAAUUUAAUUUAUCAUCAACUAAUCAAAUUACACGUCAACAAACAUUAGUUGUCAUUGAAGUUUUUGAGUACAGCUUGAAUUCAACUCCACAGAGCAUAUAUAGUACUGUGAAACUUAUAUGUUCAAAACACUUGAAUUCAGUUUCGUAAGAACAUGUUAAACUUCAAUCGGUUAAAGAAAAAUCAAAUUGAUUAAGUUGGUUCAAACCCUUAUCCUUAACCAUUGACUUGGUUAACAAUUGGUCCAUGUGCAAACUAAAAGGAAAAAAUCUAUAAGAAGUAGGGUAGGUUCACCCACAUCCUGUGCUAUUUCUCCUACAUAAACAUCACGGUUUAGUUCUUUUUUGCUUUCUUAAAAUUCAAUAAGUAUUAAUUGAAUAAAAAAUAAAUACAGUAGCUUCAAAAAAGUAAUAUAUAAUAGAAAAUUAAAAAAUACAGCAGAAAAUUCAUAAAAAAUCUCAUUUUUUUUUUAUGUAUUUUGGUUUUUUGAGUUUGUUAAAUUUUGUGUAUUACUCAAUUAAUAUUUAUUGGAUUUUAAGGAAACAAAAAAAAAAUUAAAACAUGAUGUUUAUAUAGGAGAAAUAGCAAUAUAAUAAAAAGUGGGACAGAGAGUAACACAGAGUGUGGGACAGAAGAUCGGUUGCGAGGUUCACUCCAUCCUUUUUGUUUUUGUUUUUUUUUUCCCUCUGUUUCUCUCCCUCGUCGUUUUCUUCUUCUUCUAGUUAUUGCUUCUGCUCCUUAUUUCGCGCUUCCUGUCCCGGACCAAUCUUAUCCAAGAAUGGCCGUUGUUGAGUUUCCUUCUUCCAAAUUACUUCCAUCAUUUUUCUCAUGAACAGAUUUGCCAUUUUGUCUUGGUCUUGAAUGACAAAGCAUUUAUCAUUCGUCAUUUAUCCAGGUCUUCAUCGAAGUCUCUAUAUUCCCAUCUGGCUAGCACCAAAGUCUUUGAUUGAUCCCAGAAGUUUGACAGUUCAAUUUAUCCAGGUCUUCACUUACUGAGCUUUAAAUGUGAGGGCCAUUUGAGUUCUGCUAUUUUCUGUGAGCAUGAGGCUGACCCUUUUAGCCCAAAAAUGUGCUACCAAACAAUUCAUAACCACCAAAAGUUUCGUUAUACUCAAGAAAAUCUACUCCUUUUUUUGAAACUUGAGAUAAAUGGGGCCAUUAGGUCUAGAAUUUCAUUUCAGUCAGGUAAUGUAACAUUCGCCUAAAUGGAAAUUAGCUCUCCCUUCAGAACCAUUCCUAUAAUAAGAUAAGACAGUGAAGACCACCCCAUCAAUACGCUUUGGUAGAAUCAUUUAAAUUAAAAUAAUUUCUUUUUUUGUCCGGUGCAUUAAUUGGGAUUCAUUGAACUCUUUCCAAAAGUUCACAAUUCAGUUAUCCAAGUUUUAGAAACUCUGUAUAUAAAGUCUUCAAAGUCAAUUCUAUAAAUCAAUUUCGUUCAUUUGGACCCUAAAUUUUUUCUUAUCUCUCAUUUCAUGUGUACUCCACAAAAUAUUUUUAAUAAAAUUGAUAAUCAUUUUGUCAAAGAAGAUCUAGUUACGCACAUCACAGUAAGACUUUAUAAUUAAGUGAAGUAUGCAUUCGAGGUAGAGAAUCCAUUGUUGAUAAUUAUAAAGCUAUAUUUUGUUUCUUCGAUUACACUUUGAAGUUAUAUAUGCGCUUAUAAUAUCUGAUACACAAUAAGAUUUCGGGUCAAAUUUUAAUUCUCAUUUUGGUAUAGGAAUAGGAACCAAUUGAUCGACUAAAUUGACUCCAUUGUUUAAAAUAUAUAAGACUUAAAUGAAGAGAAAUUCAAGUGCAAGAACUCAAUGUUGGAAUAUUAUGAAACCAAACCGCUAAGGCUCUGUUUGAUUAGAAGGAAAGUUAUACGGGAAAGUGAAGUGAAGGAAAGUGAGGUCAAGAAAAAUGAAAAUAAGUUUCCCAUACACGUUUGGUUACUAAGAAAAAUACUGAGAGAAUAUAAGAAGUUAAUGACGGCUAGUAGCAGUUAUUAAAACUUCUGUUAGUAACUAAAUAUUUUCCUUCAAAAUCCUGCAAAAUUUGCAAGACAGGAAAGUGCAGGAAAAUGCAAGAAAAUUUUUCAACGUUCCUGCCAACCAAACAUGCAUGAAGAAAAAAAUAACUAACUUUCCUUCACUUUUCCACACUUUUCCCUGCAAAUAAACACUAUGUAAAGGGACUUCGUUAUUAAUUUAUCCUUUAGUUAUUUCUCUCUAAAAUACUAGUGAUUAUCCAUGUCAUUUCCGAGUAACAACCAAACAGGUUCUUUUUUUUUUUUUUGUCGUAACGAUAGGAUUCCUAUAACCUAACCUAGCCUAAUCUAAGGGGAAGGGGGAGAGGACUCGAUGUGAAUAGAAAUUUCAUCGAAAAUGGUCAACGAAAACCAUCACAUAUUGUGACAAUUUUGGUUCACGUAUUGUGAAGACAAUUUUGGUUCAUGUAUUGUGACAACCAAACAGGUUCAUGAAAGAGUGAAAUUGUGUUUCACAUGUAUCCAGUUGGCUUCAGAGCUUAUACUGCAUCGUAUCUGUAUACUACUAACCAUAGUCAUGAUAUCAAAGGAAAAACCUACUGCAUUUAUAUAUGCGAGCGGCCAAAUAUGUUCUGUCCAUUUUGUUUCUCUCAAAAAUGAUAAAUCUAGUCUUUGGAAUAAAAAAUUAGAGCAUGAAAAUGCAUGAACAAGGAACUCCAAGGCCAUUGAAUCCAGGAUCACUCUAAAGUACCAUGCACUUUAGAAUUUUUAGUUUUGUCUCUUCAAUUAAAUUUGAUCGAAGGUAAGGUAUAUGUCUCUUCGUCAAAGAGAAAAUGAGUAGUUGAAGAAGACAUGUUAAUUAAUGCUCUAUUCUUUGUGACUGCUGACAAGAAAUUAAAAGGAAGGUAUCCCAUUCACUUCGGUGCCGACUACCUACUUGUUUUCAAUAGUCAAACAUGCUUCUAACUUGUGCCCAAUUAUUGUUUUUUUCUUGUUUCUGUUUAUGAUGUGUUCUUGGACACUGAAAAGUAGAUGACAACAACUUAUUUAGAGUAAAUGGCAAAAAGAGCCACUACAUUAUUUGGAAUUCUUUGUUUUGAUCACUAGACAUUUUAUCUUGCCAAAAUGGUCAUUUAAUUAAUAAAAUAAGGUAUAUUUUGUCACUCAACUAAUAAAAAAAAAUUACAUUUUCAAUCACUCAACUAAUGAGACUAGAUAUAUACACUUUUUGAUCGCAAAAUGCAUGUAGUAUUAAUUAGUUGAAGGGCCACUUUGGAUAAAUAAAAAGUUUAAUGAACAAAAUAGGGAAUUUUAAAUAGUAUAAUGAUAAUUUGUGAUAUUUGCUUAAUUAUCUUUUGUCACUAGUGCAUUCUUGAUACGCGUUUCGCAGUAAACAAUGAUCCCAAGUUUUGUGUAUCAUUACUGCUUAAAAGUUGUGAAUAAAAUCCUUGGCACAACACAUUGGUUUGAGGAAAUAGAUUAUCAAUAAAACCAUGGUGGAAUCCUCAUCUUUAAUAGGAGAGGUGGAUGGAAUCAUCGCUUAUCAAACAUUAACAAGUGGACGGAUAGAUAGAUUGAAUGGUUCGGAGUAAUUUGAGUUAAAGAUUUUAAGUUCGAAAUCUUCUACUUAUACUAAAAAAAUUUAACAAAAUAAUCCCAAUUAAGGCGAAAUAAAACACAAUGACCCCAUGUGGUGACAUUUGAUUGCGGAAGAAUUUCUUUUAAAAGCUAAUUUGUUGUUCUGAUAAUGGGCUAAUUCGACUUUGACUAGAAUUCUAGUGCCAUCAUUUGUCAUGCAUACAUAACCAGUCUACCACUCCGUACUCUCCAGUUUCCUCGUGAUAGGUCAUGGUCGUUUACCAGGCUGAAAAAGGAAGGCCCCAGUCCAAAGAAGCCAAUUUAACCUCAUGUCAAUUAAGCUUUGGUCGUUCUACCCAGAUGAAGUGCAUAAAAGAUUAAAGAAUGAGUUCAGAAAUUUUUACCUUCUAAGUUUUAACCAGACAAAUCAGUAGAACAAAGCCAAGGCUUCCUUUCCUUAAAAGAUUAACGUACAAUAUGUAGCAGGCAACGUCCUAUAUUUCAGCUUGACACCAUUAUUGGGAUUGGGAUAUGUUUCUAACUUUAGGUUCUCUUUUAUCUCAGAGCGGUCUAUGGCAGUAAAAUAAGUAAAACCGCUGGGAUUGAUCCAAUGGUCAGAAAAAGAGCUCUUAGAACUGUCUCUGCUGCUAGAUUUAGAGUUCGAAUUUUGAGUGUAAUAAUUGAGGGUAGGAAGAGAAUGAGGAUGGGUGGGAGGUAAAAAAAAAAAAAGAAAGUAAAAUAAGUGAAAGACUAAAGCUAGACAAGCAAACCAAAGUAGCUAGCGCAGUUUGGUAACUUGUAGUUAACAACUCCUAAUAGAUACUCCAAAAUUUAUUCAUUGAGGCACAACUUUUUCAACCCUAAAAUAACGUUGAUGUUGCAAAAAUUACUAUGAGUAAUACAUGAGCAAGCAAGCCUCAAAAAUGUGCUGUAUUUGUUGAUAUAUCUUUGGUAGUCAGCUUAGUCAUCAUUUUUUUUUGUUCGAUUAAAGUUUGUGUACUGUCACUUUCUGUUACCACCAUGGGCUAGAUUAGAGUAUAUCAACGAAGCAAUAGUUCGAUUAUAUAUUAUUCACCAACACAGUUUUCAUAUCGAUAGUAAAAUUCAAAAACACAAUUUUUUAUUAAAAAGUAGUCAGCACUUAUCAAUUGAUCUAACUUAUCUUGACAAUCAACUUAGUCAUUGAUACAAUAAUUUGGUCCUCGAGACUACAGUCGCGUUGGCUAUGAGAUUCCAGUUGUCAAGCCAAGGAAAUCUUGUGCGUGCGAGUAAAAUUCAAUUUUAAAGAUCAAACACAAGUAUCAAUGUAUCAACUUAGUCAUCGAUAUACAAUGAUGCUUGUCUUAGGUCUUUAUCGUUGAAUUUUCCCUCCAUGCAACACAUUUCGAUGCCGUGGACAACCGGAAUCUCAUAGCCUUUGCAAGACUCCUUUUUGUUUGAAUACUAACCAUUGCCAGCCAUAUUAUCAGCUUUUAGAGAUUUUCCAACGUCUUUCCACCUUGAAAAAUUGUUCAAUUAGAAUUUGAUUUGUACCUAGAAGUAUUAAUAUUAGGACUUGAUCGAGCAUAAGUUGCCCCCACCAGUUGUAUGUAUCUCAUUAGUCAUAAUAUGUGGCUGAGCCUUCUGGUCCAAAUUUAACCUGUAAAGGCAAUUUGACAGCUUACCCGUUGCGUUUAGUAAUAGAGCGUACGUAAGGACAAAUAAGAGAGGGCUGGGGGAAAUAAAAAAAUAAAUAGAGUACGUACGGCCACGUUAGGUUACUGCAAGUCUUGGAAAUUGGAAUAGAUACAUCCCCAGUCAUUCAGCUCUUCUAGCCUACCAAUCCAAACAAACAAGAAGAAACUUGCAUUGCAUUGAUUGAUUGAUUGAUUGAUGUAUCCUUCGACAUGGGUAUGGAAGGAGAACAAGAGAUUCAGUAAGGAGCCUAGUGGUUAAUCCAGGCUUUCUUUGAAUUGUUAAUUGUUAAUCCAUGGAAGAAACAUACUAUUGGGGUCGUCUAGCUUGGGGUGUGGGUGCGUGGAUUAGUGAAGCCACCUUGUAGCAGCAGCCUAUGGAGGCUUGGCCCUUGUCGGGGUUUCAAUCCCACAUCGGUCUUGGGGGAGAAGGGUUUGGGUAGAUAAGUCUCCUUGGAGCCUUCAAAAGUUGCCGGCUUUUGAAGGUAACCCGGGACUUUAGAUUUAUUUGCCGAAUUCUUACUUUCGUAAGAAAAUGCAUGGAAUUGAGGUCUCCUCUCCAGACAUACUUGAUUAAUUUUGUACCUUAAGUCAGAUGUGUUUAAAAGGAAUUAUUCAGAUUUGUAUUUGUGGAAGUAAUUAGUCAAUAACUACUUCAGAGUUUUUGGUCAAUUUUUGGGAGCAUUUCAUGAUUUUCUAGGUCUUAUAUCCACAAACAUCCUUCACUCUAUCAUAAGAAGAAGAUGCUAAUUGCUAAUUUUGGCAUAUAUAUAUAUAGGUGAAUUUUGUUUAACAAUCUUGUAGUGUAUAUGCAUGCACAAUAGAUCUACGGAGCUUUCUUACCAUAUUAACCACCAUUCUAUCCUCAAACAGCAACAACAAGAGUCAUAUGUACCAGGACGAAUGUGUCACAAAACCAUUGAAACUUCCAUAUUCAAAAGGUGCAGGUACGAUACCACAUUAAUGCACUGUGAUUCAUGAACCUGUUUUAGAUGUUUAUGAAACAUGAAAAUAAUAGUUUUUUGACUGCCGUUGCCACGAAAUCCACAUGAUCUUCUACCCUAGGCUCUUUCAUUCUCAAUUCUUCAACUAACAAUGAUUGUAGUUUCAAACUAGCAAAGCGUAGGCGUGAAUGCAUUGAGUUGACAGAUAGCUGGAAUUUCCAUCCUGCAACAUAUUAGAAGGAUGUCAUUUUGAGAUCAUGAACAUAUCUUCUGAAAAUAGUGAAAACCAUAAAUGAGGGGACUCUGCGCCCAAAGAGUAAAUCUUAUAUAUACAUUAUCACGAUUGGAUGCAUGACAUAUGUAUAAAAUUUGGAUUUCAAAUUCAAAUUCGAAUUAUGUGUCAUACAUCCAAUGAUGAAAGUGUAUACACUGUCAGUAUAGAAUAUUAAUUAAUGCUUAAAACAAUGGUUGAAAGUCAAAAUUUUUGUCAUCCAGUGACAAAUGUUUUUGUGAGAAAUUGGUCUCGAAAUUCAGCAACAGUUUUUCUUUUGUUCCAUCCAAUUUAUUGCUUUUAUCUGAUUGCAUCAUUAGCAUUUAAUCAGAAAAAGCUUUUCUUACCAAGAUGAAAAAGAAAAAGAAUUAAUAUCGUCUCUUGCUUACCAAAGUUUUUUUUUAAAAAAAAAGAGAGCAGUGUUCACUUGUCAAUCUUUCCUGCCAAGUAUGAUAUCUCUGACUAUGUUAAUCUAAAUGCUUGUAAAAAGCAAUGUGGGCGCAGAAGUUUCCGACCAUGUAUGAAAAUUUCGAUUAAUCUCUAUGUUAAACGAAAAAAAUGAGGAAACAGGAGACGUAUGAAAUGCGAUGUGUGAAGAAUUAUUCUUCUUUUUCUCAUGUCCUAAUUCUAUGUAAAAUUGAUACAAAAGCAUCUCUAAUAUAAGGGGCAGCAUUUAAACAUUAAGCAUUUUAUAUCGAUAAGAUCAAUUUUGCUUCUAUUCCAUCUGAAUACUUUUUCUUUUUCCCUUGAACCGUGGGGAUGGUAUCAAAGCCAAUGACCGUCGAAUGAUGUAAAUAAGGUGGUCCAGACUUCUGUACUUUUCUCUUCUAAGUUUCAUCCCAACUGUACAGGAGUAGCUCAUUGAAAAGAUUUAAAAAAAAAAAACCAUAGUUCAGCGGAUAAAAAUUACUCUAAGGAUAACAGGUUGACCUUCCCUAGGGAUUCAUAUCGACCGGAAAGUUUGGCACCUCAAUAUCAGGACUUCGCCACCUAAGGCUAUAGUACGUUAUAAAAGUUGGACUGUUCGCCCAUUAAACCAAUAUGUGAGCUGAGUUUAGAACGUCAUGAAAUAAUUUAGUACGUUAUAAGAGUUUGGCACUCAGUAUCAGGACUUCGCCACCUAAGGCUACAGUACGUUAUAAGAGUUGGACUGUUCGCCCAUUAAACCAAUAUGUGAGCUGAGCUUAGAACGUUAUGAAACAAUUCAGUCAAUAAUCGGCGUGAGCGUUAGAGCAUUGAAAAGACAUUUCCCUAAUACAAGAGCGAUUUCCAUUUACUAUCAAAAAAUAGAACAGGAACACAAUAUCCAUUGGACUUGCAUUCCUUUCUCUAAUCAUGAAGCUUUCCUUGAUAAUUAAUGCAGUCAAAGGUUUCAAAAUAACGCAUGCACAAUACUUGUAAGAAAAUAAAUAUUUCCUUAAAGAUGAUAUCGUGAAAGAAAUGCACAUACAUACACAUAUACAUGUAUCAUCAGAGAACAGAUACACGUGUAUGUAUAUAUAUACACGUAUAUGAAAAUUAAAAAUGUGCAAACAACAAAAUAAGAAUCGUUGUCGAAGAAAUCAUGCAAUUUUCGUGUGAACAAUCACGGCCCCUGUUCCCCGCCUUUUGACACGGGGCUAUAGUCCGUAGUGCAUGUUUUUUGGCUCCAGGUGCUUCUUGGCAUAGGCAAUUAGGCAUGAUUGCUUGCCCAAUUCACUACUGUAACAGAUAGGAGACAGGCAAGUGAUCAGAGUUAUUUAUAAUUUUCUUUGUUUUCAAUUUACAGUGAUUUUUCCUCUCUGUCAAGUAAUCUCUGCUUCAAAAUUUGCAUUUUGUUUCUUCUGUACGCAUAUAUGAAAUUGACAUCUAGGGUACUGAUUCAAAACAAACAGUAUACUGAACUUUUAUGAUAUAUUAUUGUAAUUUGUAACUGCAUAGAUGACAAAAAAUGCUUCAUCAAUCAUGACAAUUGACAAACGAAGCUCCAGGUUCUUAUAGAGAUUUCUACGUUUUUCUUCAAAUAGUGAAGCUACUAUAGCAAAGCAGAAGCGGGUGGGGACUAUUUCUUCGAGUUUUCAAAUCCACCCUUUCGUGGCAUGUGCAACAUUUUACACCUCGAAAUGACUAAAGUGAAUUUGACAGAUGGUUGACUUACGACCCGUUUGAAGUUACGGUGCUUUAAUUUCAAAAAAAAAAAGGGAGCAUUUUUAAGUAUCAAAAGCACGUUUUAAAUGUUUGGUAACUAAUUUUUUUUUGUAAUUGAAGGAGUCUAACUUUUGAUAAUUUAAAAGUAUUUGUAUCAGAAGUGUUUCUUUAUAAGUUACCAUAACCUUAGAUGUAGCCUAUGCCGGGACAACUCCAAGCAUACCCUUAUCAUGUUUCUUCUUUUCUUUCAUGUUAGGUUGAAACCUUGGAAUAUAGGAGGACUGAUAAUUUCAUUAAUUGACAGCCAGAAGAAGGACAUUUUGGAUAGUGACACUAUUUUCGGGUUGAACACUUUUUCUAGGGCUUUUUCAUAUUUCCUGACAAAUUCUUUUAAUAUUGCAAGAUAUAUAUAUAUAAAAACUAAAUACAAAACUUGUGGUUCAAAAGUGUAAUUCUCUAUUUAGGUCCACAGCCGACCCUGUAAGAAAGAAAAGAGUAGGCUUCUUAUUAUUUAAAUGGCCUCUUUUUAACCUGCUUCAGAAAACAAAAGACACUUGCAAGUUUUCGAAAAAAAUAUUAAAAAGAAAGUACAUUAAAUAAAGUACUGCAGUGAAAAUGGAUACAGGCAGUGAAAGUUGUCGGUGAUGGAUGGCAGGCGAUAUAAGGGAUAAGGAAGGUGAUUUUCUAGAAAAUAGAGAACUACAGUAAGUUAUAAAAAAGUUUCGAAGUAAAUAUCCAAAAAAAAUACACCAUCUAAAUGAAUGUAAAAUGUCUUGAAGAUGUAAUCCAAGGGCAAAUCUAAUAAGAUAAAACCAACAACAGCUCAAUCCUUCCAAAUAAUCAGUAUAUUUGUUCUGUUCAGUGCAUUGAGUCAAAUUUUUUCUAAAUCGUAACAGUUACUCUAUAGCAUGUACAUGGGUUCAUUUGUCUCAAUUCUGCAGAUAAUAGUAGCUAGCAUAUUGAAAAAUACAUGCCUGUCUGGUUAAAGUUUGUUUUAGGUGUUACGAAACGAAAACAUGCUUGCUACUUCCCCAUCACUCUCUGGUACGUAAAGAAAUGCUUCCACCACGUCUAUAGCAUCUGAUCAGUGGGAGGGCUAAUCUAUUCUUUUCUAUCUUCAGCCACCAAAACAAUAUCAUAUUUCUUUGGCUCAGCAUUUUUCUACGUUCUAAAGAUAAGAGCAUUUCCAACAGCUCUGGCAAGUUAAAACAUUCGGGUAAAAUUCCAAAAAAAAGUAUGGCUUUUGGGCCAGAGUUUCAUAAGAAACUUUUGUUAAUUGCAAGUACCACUCUCAGAAAUAGGCCCCUUCUAGCCAAGUGUUUUUCAAGCCUUCACACAAUCAACCAAUUUGUAGCCCCGAAUUGCACAUUAUUUCAUCAAAAGACAUCAUCACCUAUUGUGACAAAAUAACAAUAAGCCCUCAAAAAAUCAACCAAUCAUUGAUUUUGGAACAGAAAUGUGGUCAAAAUCGGAUUCAAUUGUCAACUGCCCCUAUCGGAAAUAGGAUUGAUUGCCGAUUCCAACGGAACUGGAGUUACGUCUCGUUUCCACAAAUAAUUCAUCUUGUUGAAAUUUGUAUUUUUUUUUGGCUGCAACCAUUGUUGAUUUCAUUGAGGGUAUGUUUGUAUCUUCAUUGUAAAAGGUGUCUCUAUAGCACGUGACAAGGUUGCUGUUGCUUUUGGGGUUGCUUAGUUGAUUAAAUUACAACGGAAAAAUUACGAAGACUUUACAAGCAAAAAUUGAUUUAAUUGAAGAAUGAAAGAAAUAAACCAGGACCAUUAGGUCUUUUGAGGGUGUAUUCCACAAUUAACCCAAAAAACUGUGAACAGCUUAAACAAAGCUACAUGAAAUAUCACUUUUUACCAUGUACUCAUUUUUUGCCGAUGUUAAUCUCAACCACAGACCAAAAAGAAAAAAAAAAGAAAAGAAUUUGUGGGACCUAGUUCCAUGACCACAGAAGUGUUUAACUAAGAGUGCAUUUAAUAAAACUGAAAUUUGAAAACUAAAAUUUGAAGUCUGAAUCCGUUUGAGUUACUGAGUUGUUAAAUACUAAAUUUGAUAGAAUUGAAUGUAUGUCACAUUAGUAAUAAGUGAAUAGUUUAUCACUUAUCUUUUGAAACAAUUUUUGCCUAUGAAAGUCAUUACUACUUAAUUAAUUUAAAUGUUCAAUAUUUAGUUAUCAAACAUGGUUAAACAUAUUAAAAUUUAAACCCAUUAAGUUUAAGUACCGAAUUGGGUUAUCAAACAAGACUUAAGAAUGCCUGUUUGUAUUGCUAUUCUCAAGAGAAAAAUAUACUAUAACGAUUUGAUAUUUAUGAAGUAAAAAUGUGUUUGAAAAAUAUGUUCAUGAAAAACAUAAAAAUUUUUUGGAUAAAUUUUACUUUCCAAACAAGGAUGGGAUUGGUUACAAAAGGAACAGUGUAAAAAUUGAGAAAAUACUACUAGCUACUAACCAAUUGUUAUUCAUUAAUUUUAACCAAAAAAAAAAAAAGAGAUAGUAAACUACAACUAGGGAUGGCAACGGGGCUGGGUCGGGGCGGAGGAACGCCCCUGCCCCCACCCCGCCCCGCUUCCACCCGCAGGCUGUGUUUUCAAACUCGGAUCGGACCGGCGGUCCAACCGGUUGAACCGGGAACCGGUCAAGUGUCCGGUCCGAGUUGGUCAUCAGAACCGGGAGAUUUAAAACCCGGUCAACUCCGGUCAAAAACCUGGUUUGACCGGUACAGAACCGGAAAAACCGGUCCAACAGGAGCUUUUGUAAAAAAAGUUCAAACUUUUUUAAUAUUAUGUUUUGACCCCCUAAAUUGUAAAAACUUAUUAAUAUACCUCAAAUAUUUCAUACUUUAUAAAUAUUGUCCUAAAAUUUGAUGUUAUUUUUCAAUUAAAUCCAUAAUUUUAAUUCUAAACUUGUUAAUGUUUAUUAAAUAAUAUAAAUUGUUACUUGAUUGUUCUAAUUUCUUUGUAUUUUCUUGUUAAAUAUAUUUGAAACAUCAAAUAUAUAUAAAUAUACCUUUAUUAAUAUCAAUAUGUUAUUGGAUAUUUUAUAUACAAUAAUUUAAUUUUUAAAUAAUUUUUAUUUAUGACGUCAUCCGGUUCGACCCCUAUCGACCCCCGGUCGAACCCAUUGACCCCUGACCCCUGACCUCGACCGAGUCGAUAUCCGGUCCGGUUCUAAAAACAUAGCCCGCAGGACUAAUAAAAAUUUGUCAUCUAAUUUUAUUAUAGUCAAAUUUUAGCAAAUAAUCAAAUAUUAAAAUAUCAACAUAUCACCAAGUUAUUAUCCAUUAUAAUUUCACAAUUGAAACCCAUAAAAGUAAUCAAACAAAAGUUAUUUGAAUACAAUCCAACACGAUGAAACAAAUAUAACUAAAGUAGUCAAUUUUUACUUUUGACACAAAUACAAUUACUAAGUCAUUACUGUAUUUUUUUGAGAAAAAAGUGUUAUUGUGUUAAGUGUAAUUAGAAAUUUAUUAUAAAUGUAUUAGUAAAUUUAGUAUAACUAAUUAAUAAUUUCUAUUAGUGGACAUGUAUAAUUAUUAGUAUAAUUGAUAAUAUCAAUUAUAUUACAUAUACUAAUGUCCAUUAUAUAAUACAUAUAACUAAUAAUAUCAUUAUUAUAAGUUUGUAACUAAUUAAAUUAAAUAUUAUAUAUAUAAUUGUAUACAUACAUAUUUAUUUUUUUUUAACGGGUGGCGGGGCGGAAGAUGGGGCGAGGGUAUGCUCCCCCGCCCCGUCUCUAAACAGGGGGAAAAAAAUUCUCUCGUACCCUGCCUCACCACCAGUGGCGGAUUUACACUGGGGGCACAGGCCCCCACUACCCCCUUAAAUUUCUAUAAUACCUAUAAAAAUUUGAUAUAAUUUCAAGUAUGCUCUCUGGAGUUUUGUGUAUCUAUUGGUUAUAUGCUUUUAAAGUUGUCUUUGAUUUUACCUAUUGUUACAACUACCAUAGAAAGGAUUUUUUCAAUUAUGAUAGAAUGGAAAACACUUGAAUGAAUAAUUGUAUAAUUAUUUAUAUUGAGAAAAAUAUACUUCAUGAAGUUCAAAAUGAAAAGGUUGUAAACUGUUAUCAAAAUAUGAAAGCUCGUCAUGAGCAAUUGUAAAUGGUGUAAUUUGCUUUUUGAAAUAAAAUUAUUAUUACAUUAAUAAUUUUGAGUCUGUCUUUUUAUGUCUUUCAUGAAAUAUAUGCUUCAUUUGUAUUUGUUGGUGAAUAUUUUUCCCUUAAAAAACUAGAAAAAUAGUAAAUAAAAAAUUUUAGAAUUACUUCUGUCCCCACUGAAAAUUUUUUCUGGCUCCGCCACUGCUCACCACUCACCCUAAACCCCGCUCUGUUAACUCCGGUGAGGCGGUCGCUCGUCCCAAUUUCCAUCCCUAACUACAGUCAUUUGUAGAUUAUUAAAGCUGUGGAAGACUGACUGAAUGUCCCUUUAUGUAACUAAAAUCUUGUAUUAUCAAGUUCAUAUAUGUAUAACAAGAAUACCGUUUGAGAAAAAAAAAAAAAAAAAGACUGCCCCACUGUCUAUUUAAAUUCCAAAAUAACCCCUUUGGUUGAUUAUUAAAGCAGCCGCAUGUCAAUUCUGUCUUUUUCCUGGCGGCAGAGGGCCUAUGUUGAAAUCCCUGAUGCUGCUCAAUUAUUACUGUGACUGUUCUUUCAAAUUAAUUCAUCUGAAUCAUGCGCAGUAUAUGUAGUAUCUGAUUCACUGAUACUAACACAGGGUCAUUGAAUAAAAAUUAAAAUAAAAUGACCACUGAUAAAAGUUACUGACAAAUUUGUUGUAAAUUGUGAUCUUUUUACUCUUCUCUUGGCCAUAGGAUUCAUAAAUAAUUAAGCUAGUACCCAUGGCACGGAGUUGUCUGGAGAUACAAGCUCAGAUCUUUGAUAGCCCCCACCUUCGCCAUGCCUUGAACUGUUCAUGCACAGUGGUGCGACCAUGAAUGGGCUUUGAGUAAAGCAAUUCUGAUACGGAUGAAUUCGGGGGUCUGAGACAGGUAUAGUUGAGAUUUUGGUACGAUUUUGCAACUUUGGAUAUUUUACAUGAUUUAGUAUAAAUUAACUUUGUUUUGUUAUAUGAGUGAAUUUUGUUCAUGCAUACGAGUACAAUUGUAGAUACAAUUGUAUCUACAAUAGCACACUGUGAAAGAAAUAUAACAACCGCACUAAUUGUACCAAAAACCAACCGCAUGCGACUCAAUCCAUCGCAGAAGACGGAGUGGUAAAGGGGAUAACCAGCCACUCCCUGCUCAAUUUUUUUAAAAAUUUUAAUUUUUAUCCUAUGUAAUUUUAGUACUAGCUGUAGUAGAUGGAAUCUCGUGAAAAUAAAGACUAAAGGUUGUGCAACUUCGAAAAGUCAGUUGAAUAUGGUACAGCACUAAGUCAUGUAUGUGUUAGGUUAACUUAAUUUGUUACUGAGACAAAAAUCUUGCACACUUUUGCAUAUGCAUAAUGACUCGCCAAAUUUUCACAGACCAUAAUUAAUUACUCAACAGCCAUGCACUUGAGAACCUUAGUGACAACGAAAUCUAUUACAGCCUUCUGUAUAUCAUGCCACCACCCGAGAGAGAGAGAGAGAGAGGAUAAGACCAGUCAAAUGUAGUAGAAGUGUGAAUGCAUGAAAUGAGUAGGAUGAGCUAGAAUGGUUUUUCAGCUAAGUUCUUGCCUUGCUCUCUCUCUCUUCGAGUUUAUAUAUACCUGACCUGACCUUUGAGAUUUGUCUCAGAGCCACAACUUUUCCUUGACUGCAGCAACAUCAGUCUUCUCUUCAACUAGGAGUAUCAUUCACCAACACCAUCUCUUCUCCAUCCGUCUCUUCCAUCACUUUCUCUUGAAGCCAUUCAUUCAUUUCCAACUCCAAAGGCAUCAAUGGCAACUUUUUCCUACCAACACCAACAACAACCUUUACAUCUUGAAUCAUCAUCAGGACUGUUUUUGCAAAGCAGCUCCCAAAUGAGGAUGUCUGCAGGCCUUCUUGAGGAGCCAAACAUGACAAGAAUGACCACCACCACUACUUCUUUCCCUCAAUUCUACAGGCCUGAUCAUUUUCUGCAUCAGGAAAUCCCUUCCAAAUCCUAUGUUAAUGAAAGUACUUGUUCCAUCUUUGACCAGAGCUGCACAAAAGUUACUCAUUUUAGCAAUAAUGGGCCGUCCUUAACAAACAAAACUUCCACCGAUUCUUCAUCAGUAACUGAUAAACUUGAAAGUGGGGAGCAAGUUACUCAGAAGGUACAUGCUGCAGCCAUGGACAAGAAGAGGAAAACAAAGAAGGGGCCUCUUCCUGUAAAUUCUGCUCAAUCAAAAGUACUUAAUCCAUUUUUUUUUUCAAUUUUUCAUCAUGGAUUUUCUAUCAAAACUGUUUACUCAUAUACAUCUACGAGCCCUUUUUCCCUUUUAAUUUUAAGUUUCAAGACUAUAUGUCUUAUAUGUUCUUUAAUUAGGCUAUAGGAGAUCAAUUAGCUAAAGGGAAAAAGCAGAGGAAAUGUGGCAGAAUUAUGAAAGAGGUUGAAGACAAGAAGUCUAAUGAGGAUAAAAAAGUUCCAGAGAAAGCUGCUGAAGAAGCUCCCCCCACAGGCUACAUUCACGUAAGAGCAAGGAGGGGCCAAGCCACGGACAGCCACAGCCUAGCUGAAAGGGUACAAUUCCAUUAAAUAAUCAUCGCUAGUUAUUGUUCUUGAAAAUAAAAACCCUUAAAUGCUUACUUUUCUCUGACAUAAACAAUUAAGGCAAUAACUAUAUUGUCUAGCACACAAACCAUGAUUAAAAUUUUGUCACAUGUACCACUCAAAACCAAAAUUACUGCAGUUGGGAUCCCAAUAGUGCCUAAGUUCAUGUAUCAGCUAAAUUUUUUCUGGAAUUGAUAUCAGGUGAGGAGAGAGAAAAUCAGUGAAAGGAUGAAAAUAUUGCAAGCACUUGUUCCAGGUUGUGACAAGGUGAAGUUUUUUCAUCAGCAUCUUGUCUUUAUUUUGUUUGUCUCGCUAAAGUUUUUUUUUUCUGACAAUUUGAAGUGAAUUCGACUGAUAAACAGGUAACCGGAAAGGCCCUCAUGUUGGAUGAAAUAAUCAAUUACGUCCAAUCCCUACAAAAUCAAGUUGAGGUAAAACUUUUGAUAGACUUGUUAUUUGGUAAAGUUUUUGAAGCUUGCUGUUAUAUAAUCCAUGCAAAAUAUUUCAAAUUCUUGCAGUUUCUAUCCAUGAAGCUUGCUUCUCUAAAUCCGAUGUUUUAUGAUUUUGGCAUGGACUUGGAUCCAUAUAUUGCAAGACCAGAACCGGUACAUGUUGCACAAUGUUCUAACACAAUUGUGUACCAAGUUGUUAUAUUUCAGAGAAUGUUUCACCAUUGUCGUCCAUACUUAUCCUGAUGAAUUAUGUCUUUUUUUUCUUUCUUUCUUUAAUGAUGAGAUCUUCAGACGCUGAGUAACAUGGCAUCACCGGUUCAAAAUAUGCAACAAUGUGAUCCAAUGCAGGCACCAAUCAUUUCUGCCACAAACAAUAGCUUGAGAACUGAUACUGCCAAUGACUAUCCUCAGUUGGAUUCUUCAGCUUCAGCAUUAUUAAUUCAACAAAGCCACCACAUCCCUCAAAUUCUCUCUCAGGUGCUUUUAACUUUUCAUGGCCACCAAUAGUAGAAUGAAAAGCAUAUACUAAUUGAUAAAAUUAAAGAAACAUUAAAGUAAAAGAAUAUUUUCUUUCUUCCAUGGAGAAAUAAAUGCUCAGGUCGGUAUCUUUGUGGCUUAGACAAAAAUAUCACUUUCAGGAAAAUGGACAGCUCUUGUGGGAUGUGGAUGACCGAAGACAGAAACUUAUUAAUCAGACGGGGUUCAACAACAACUUGUGUUCGUUUCAUUAAUUAUAAGACCAAAGGGCAAGAGUUGCCCUACACAUAUCUGGUAAGCCUUCAAUUGCUGUCUCAAAUAAUACGAGCAAAUGCUAAUAAAAAUUAGUGACAACUGCGAAUGAGCUAAGAGACAUAUGUACAUAGAGUCAUUAUCAGAAAUGCUUCCUUUCAUGCCCCUUAAUUUGAAUUUUUUAAUACUUUUUCCUGGCUUUCACACCAUUUGAGAUUUGAGAAAUCUCAGUUGGUUAUUUGGGCCGUAUGCCAUUUUUGUUUAGCAUAAAGCAAACUAAUUAGAACGGACGACGUGCAUGCAUAGGGCUUAAUCACUUGGGAAUUAAUUACUCAGGUAGAUUUAAACUAUUAAACCUACAUGCCUUAAUUGCUCUUACCUUUCCAGAUGGUAUAAAUAAUAAUGCAAAUGUUACAAUUAUAUAAAAUACCCAAUCUGCAAGAUCAAGUCCCGAACUGAAUUAGUUCACUUAUGUUGACGAAAUAUUUGUUGAACACCUGAGUUUCUCUGUAGUCCACAAUUGUUUAGAGAUAAUGCGACAAGGCACACAGAGUCUCAUAUGGUCCUACGUACUACCUCCAUGUCUCAUUCAAUGGAAGAAAUUUUACUUGCACGAAUUAUCCAAAAAAAAAAAAAGGAAAAGAAGAACAAAUAGAUACAAGUAUUAGCUAUAUAACCCUAAAAAAACAGAGAAUUGUUGCAGGUUUUGUAUGUUUUCUUCUUUUGGUAAUUUUGCUCCUGGUUUUUUGAUGAAUGACCACAGGUUUGUCAAGAUUUGUGAAGGGCAAAAAGGUAGUGCCAGACAAAUGUUACUGUAGUUUCUUAUUCGUUAGUAUCAAUUCUAAUGGAGAAGGGUUUCAGCUUGCAUAUUACUUUGAUCACCUCAAAGCUCGGAUUCUGAAUUCAUUGGAGGAAUGGGGUCUUCUAUCUCUCUGAUCACAUGAAUAAAAAGAAAAGCAAAGUAAAAGGGCAUGAAGAGGAUAGAAAUCAAUGGACACACAAGGACAAACACAACCGACCAAACAAGACUAGAUCUUUUUCAGAUCCUUUGUUCCUGUCUAAUUUGACUCCCAACUGUCAGAAGCACAAAUUCCUAGCUAGAGACUUGGCUUUACAUAUGUACUUAAUAUGAGGUAAAUCCAAGAAAAUAUAAUGUAAACAGUUGUAAAAGAAUCUGUUAAGGUAUCAUAAUAUUGAGUUGCAUGUAACUUACUGGUAGUAGUCUAGUAGUCCUGCGUUUCUUCUUCUUAGUAUUGUCACUGUAAUUCUGUUAUAGAAGAUAGUUUUUACCGUUGUAGUUUUCUUGUCCCUUUGUUACAUUGAAUUGCACUGCGAGUCUGCUACUAUUACUGUUUCAUUUUUUGGUACUGACGUGACAAGACUCAUCCCAUAUCAUAUGGCUUCGUACGAAGGAAUCAAUUCAACUGUGUGACUGCGUGUUGAUAAAUGAAUCAUAGUAACGGACCUAACGGUUAUUGACAGGUCCAUGAAUUAUUUCUUUCACCACUGAAAAGACAGUAACCAUGGGAAGCAUGAAAACAGGUAAACAACCAAUUGAUUCUUAAUCUUAAAACGACUGAUAAUCUAUAGAGAUUUACCCUGGAAACGAAUGCAAGAACCCAGAUUAAUGGACUUUAAAACCCCGUAUAGUAAUGGUUAGAAGAAGAAGAAGGAAAAAAAAAAGAGCAAGAAAGGAAAUUUAAUAUUGUAUGUGUAUUUUUCUGUUAUGGCAAACAAAUUUUUCUUGGUUCCACCAUCAUAUAAAUUAGUUAACCUGAUAAGUCAUUGUAAAAUUACUGAAUGAUGUAAAGAAGUUAAAACCCUAAAAAUGUAUCAUCCAACUCUCUAAUAAUCCAGAUCUUCAUGUAGUAGUAGUAGUAGUUUUUAUGUCUACUGAUUCUUCAUUUCUUUUCCAAGCUAAACUGAAUUAAGAUUAAUUUGGAGCAAAUUGAACUGAAGAAACUUUGAUGGCAUGGUGAAAAACAGCAUCUGGAGACGUACUGCUUGUCAAGACAGCAAGCGGCAAGAAUGGGGAAAUUGUACAUGGUGGACCUAAAAAAUCAUCAGGUAGAAUAAUUAAGUCUUUAUUUCCAUAUCAGACAAGGUAAACUGAACUGCAUUACUUCAUUGGCAUAACCAUCUGACUUUCAUGUUCAAUAGAUUGACAUGGUCAAGUGGAGUGGAGUCUCUUCGGACAUUCCAUGUGGUACCUGUGUUUCUCGUGUUAUUAAUAACUGGCUGGUUGGCACCGGUUGUGAGCAUUUUACUCUGAUUGAUCAGUUAUUUACAUUCUCUCUUGAAGAAUUACUAUCGUUUUCUUAACCAAAAAAAAAAAAAAAAAGUCAUGCAUUAUUAUAUUUGUCUCACUAGAAAUUUAUUGCAAUUAUGCCAAUCUUCUUUUUUUUUUUUGUUUUUUUGUAUAUAAUGAACAUAUCAUUCUAGUCAUAAAUAAUAUCAUCACAAUUCCUUUUGACAUAAAUGACUUGUAAAGUCUUUGGCACUAUCAUAACUACCUUUUUGAAGUUCUAGAUAUAGUAAGGCACCGUUUGGAAUGAGGGAAUGGAAGGGAAAGGAAAGGAGAAGAAUUGGAGGGAUUUGGUUUCUAUUAUUUGGAUUGAUAUUUGAGAAGGGAAAGAAAAGGAUAGGGAGGGCUAGUUAUUUUUAUUGAAUUAUGGUUUUCGUUCAAAAGUGGGGCAAAAAAAAGAGGAAAAUAAAACUAAAUUAAUUUAAAUAAUUUAAAUUUUUUUUAAAGAUAAAAUUUUUCAUAUCUUUUCCAGUAAAGUAACACUUGAUCUAUUCCUUUCCUUUCUUUUCUUCUUCAAUCCAAACAAAAAUUCAAUAUUUCUUUCCUUUCUUACAUAAUUCAAAUAAGAUGGAUGAAAGCCACUUUUCUCUACUCUUCUUUUCUUUAUUUUCUAUUGGUAUCCUUUCUUUUCCUUCAAUUCAAACGGUGCCUAACCACAUGCAAAUAAAACUGUAGAUCAUAAUAGUGUAGAAAUUAUUAUCAAAAGUGAAGUACUGUAAAUUUUAGAAACUUUACAUUUUUCCUACUAUAACAAAAUUUUUUUUUUCCGGUAACCCGAAUCAUGUUUCGACCUGAAUCCUUUGGAUCCGAACCGGCACACCAAACAGGAGGGCAACGCUGCAGCCCCACGCAACAUUUACCCAAGCGAGUCACAGGAUGCCUAGGGAACAAUUUCGAUCCUGAGACAUUUGUAUUCCAAAGAAUCACUGUUACCACUAGGGGAACUACUUUAACAAAUUUGCAAGAGAAGUCGGCAAUAAUUUUUACGUGGAUUUUUUUCUUUUAAUCCAAUCCAAGAAUGUUCUACUAAAGAGAGUCUCGUUAUCCAUGAGUCAUCAUAGUUACAAUAAUUAUUAUCAUCUAAGAGCUUUUAGCUACAUUUGACGUGUUGCUAGCUUCUCGGCCUUUGCUGCUCCUCCAGCUGCCGAGAUUUCCAUGACUAGGGUCCCAACUAUUUCUUCCUAGAGAUGAAAGAUAAGACAAGUCAAUGAACAAAUAUGCCCCCACCACCAAUAUAUUUCUGCAAAUUUUUAGUCACUUUAAUACGUUGCAAUUGUCUUAAAAGUGUAUGUCUUAUCAUAUAUUAUUUUGUUGUUCUUCUAUUUCUGAAAGAAAAAAAAUUAAAUUAAUUGUUAAAAAUAGCAUAGUACUGCCAACUGGAUUGUAAAUGUUGCCAUAAUCAUUAUUGCUUCCAGGCCAACAGCUUCUUGGGCUGUUGGUAACCCUACUUAAUUGUGACUGUUAUUUUUGAGUGGCUUUCUUGGACUGGAUUUUCCGUUGAUUAUACUCCCCCUCUCCCUAAAUUAGAUUAGAAUAGAUGAUACAACUAUUAUCGUUGCGAAAAAAAAAAAAUUGCUUCCAACAUAUGUGCAGUUCACCAACUUAUCAAUAUGUUCAUCAUUUGGUCCCAUUUCUUAGAUUAAGUCAGACUGCUGUCUGCUAUUGAUUGAACCAAAAACUUGCUUCUUUAAGCUUUCUGGCCAUUAUGAUCAUUGGCUCAGAUUGGAGUCUAAGAAUAAAUUUAUGAGGAAAUUAUAUUUCUAAUGUUCAUAUAAUAAUACAAGUGAAUUCCUGAUUUGGAUCGGUCGAACAUUAAAGCUUGGUUAAGUGCUUGAUCGAGGCAGUAAAUGGUUCUUAACAUUGAAAUUGGAAAAUAAUCGUUUAAAAACGUUUUCGAUUUUGAAAUCCAUGAUGACAAUUCUUAUGCAAAUGGAUUAAUUUCUCUUCUUUUAUACCCUUAUUCUUCUUUAACUAGCCACACCUUUUUCAUGUGAACAAGGUCUGCGCCACUAGGCCUGUCAACGGGUCGGGUCUAGACCCGGAUCCGGACCGGAUCCGUGAAAUUAUUGAGGGUAUGGGUAGGGAUUUAAUUCCGUUUCCUGGAUCCGGAUCCGGAUCCGUUUUGUCAAACAAAAAACGGGUCGGAUACGGAAUAUAGUAUUCCGACCCGUAUUAGACCCGGAUCCGGAUAUAAAUGAAUUAAUAAUUUAAAAAAUAUAUAUUUAUCAAUAUAAUUUGAUUAGGGUGAUGUAUUUUAAUAAAAUUAAUUUGAUUUCUUUUCUUAUUUGGUUUUUUCUUUGCAUUAGUUAGAAAUUAGUUUAUAAAUAUAUUUUUUUCUCAUUUUUAUUAGAAAUUAUAAAAUUUGGUAAAUUUGUUCGGGUAGACCCGGAUCCGGAUCCGGGACCCGCCGGAUCCGGAUCCGGAACAUAGAAUAAAAGACCCGUCGGGUAAACGGGUCGGGUCCGGAUCCGGGAUAGUAAUUCGGGUCCGGGUCCGGAAUAAUGAAUUCCGGCCCGGACCCGGCCCGUUGACAGCCCUAUGCGCCACGCAUCGUGGCCAUGUACUAGCUUAAGGAAAAAAAUGGAUGUUCCAACUUUUUCAAUUGUCUUUGUUGGAAAAUUUCCUUAAACAUGAAGAAAUUGGCAUCAAUAAUUGUGUGCUAAAAAAUAAAACGGCUAUGUGUUUGAUACGUUCAAUUCCACCACCUGAAGCCGUUAUAUCUUGCCAGAUUGGAUUUUCUUGCACGUCAACGACAAAAUUGUUUUGGUACAAAUUAUCUUUGACAAUAGAGUUGCAAUUUCGAGGUACGAGCUUUAUAUUUCAAAGAUAAGGAAAGUUGAUAGGCUGGAGGGAUUUGGUACUCAUGGUUCAUGCACUUCCAAUUUUGGCAAGUGACAUUUGUGCAAAUCAAAAUUGCGUCCACAGUGAAAGAUUCAUUGUUACAAGCCGAAAUUGUUCAAUAAAACAGGACAAAUUAAGCUAAGAUCCAAAGAGAAGGGAAGUUGAAAAGAGCAAUCACGCCAAAGUUGAAUAAGGGUAUCAGAAAGUCUAUUAAAGCAAAUCAUGAGCGUAAAAAUUAUUGGCGAACAGAUGAAUUAAAAAUCUAAUACCAGGACAUUAGUUACUAACAUGCACGGAAGGGAAUUGCAGUGAUUUAUCUAUUAGAAAAUAAUUGUGAAAUUUCUUGUAUUUUUUCAGAUCUGGUGUUAAUUUUUUCGGAUUUAUUGUAUAUGUUAAAUUGCAGAUAUGUAAUUUCUAAUGCAUGAUCUCUGUAAUUUCUAAUGCAUGCUUAACCUACCAUUAAAGCAGUAAUGUAAAUCAAAUCAUAGUGAACGAUUUCAAACAAUCUGUUAAUGAAAUUUGCUAUAUGUAUGGUAUCAUAAUCAUUAUUGUUCUCUCAUAUUUUUACACAUUUUCAUGAAUAUUUGAAUGUUCAUCUUCCCUAUUUCAAAAAUACUAAGUUGAGUAAGGACAACUGGCGACCAAGGACAAUUGUUAAAUAAACCCUUGUCUUUUGAAAUUGCCAAUCUGAAACAAAAACAAAGGAAGUAACAAAUCAGCAGCAUAGGAUAUUAAGUACUGUUCUUGUGUCUUCUGGAAAUGCAAUAAAAUGGAGAUUGACAUUUCUUUGUCAGAACUUAAAGCCUGACAAUUGAGAGUCUGCAGAAAAAUUUCCCAACCUUCUUCUAGUAUUUGCGAUUAGCUGCAAUGUGCAAAUCAAUGACCGAUCAUUUCCAUAUUAAGGCUCGACAACAUCCAGGAUAAGAAAGUACUGAACCAUAGAUGGAAUACACGUUGCGUUAUUAAAAUCACCAAUCCUGGCUUCUUUAAUAUUUUUUUCCUUCUCUUUUUCAUCUUCUUUGUACUUUCCACUCAAGAUGUCCCCUGAUCAGAAAAUGAAUGCUUUAGGCUUUAUAUUAUUCUUUCUUUUGACAGAUCAGCAUCCACAUAUCAUCUGACGUGGAAGCAAAGGAUGUUGCAAAGUGUCCUAUUAAUUUGGAUUGAUAUACACACAGAACCUAAUCAAUUAUCAACCCCAACCCUACUAUCUUGUGAACGUUACUUCAAUGUCCUUUGUUUUUCAUUCUGAUGAUAAAAUAUCUGUUAAUGCCAUUAAUCAUUGUAUAAUGUCUAUGUACUCGUCAUAUUUCGUGUCCACAUUUGUUCUAUUAAUUUUAAAUUCUUGAUUGAGCAUUGAUUUUCAUAAAAUAUGUAGCACCUCAUACAUCUUUUUUCCUACCUCUCCCCUCACUCUCCUAUUCCUUCCCUAUCUCCAACCUAUUAGUCUGGAUCGAACCCUGAUCUACCAUAGUUCAACUCCCUGAUCACUAGUCCUCACGACUAGGGGUGUUUCGCGGCUCGCGAGCGGCUCGAAUACGUGCUCGAGUCGAGCUCGAGCUAAUUAAGUCGAUCUCGAGCUCGAGCUCGAGCUAAAAAACAUUAGCCUCGUUGGCUCGCGAGCUCAAUUAUAUAUAAUUUUUAUUUUUUAUUUUAAUAGUAAAAUUACAUAUAUAUUCCUAAUAUUUUAUUAUUUGUUAAAAAAAUUAUUGUUUUAUUCAUUUUUAAAAAUAAAUAAUUAUUUUUUAUUUUUAAAAAAUAAAAUAAUAAUAAUUAUUUUUUUAUUUUUUAAGUUCGACUCGAAUUUGAGUCGAGCUCGAGCUCGAGCUUGAUAUUUUGAGCUCGUCGAGCUCGAGCUCGAGUUCGAGCUUCACAAAAUUAACUCAAGCUCGGCUCGAUUAGCCAAAACUCGACUCGAACUCGGUUCGUUUGCACCCCUACUCACGACUAUUAAUAUAUCCUCUAUUAUCAAUAGGUGAUUAUUAAUCCUAUAAUUUAACACUAUCACACAGCUUGCAUCUAUAUAUACAAUCACAAUGUGGCAAAAGCACUAAUUUCAUGCCAACCUUUUUCACAUACAUAAGAAAAAUAAACGAAUUUACUAGAAAAAAAAAAAGACAUGUCAAUUGUUGAAAGCAUAUGAGACCCCAAAAUUUGACGAGACUAGGGUGGACCAAACUACGAUUUUUUUUGCCAACUGAACAGCAUACCAUGCAGAAGCACUUUAUGUCUAGAGAAUUCUGCCAUAUUUUUUUUAUUGAUGAUGAUGAAGUGUGUAAAUAUGACAUGAAAAGUCAUUGUUGUCCAUAAUCCCACUUCUCCUAGUCAUUUAGGAGAGUGUUUUUGACGAGUCACGAUCCCAUGUCAUGGGUAGGGAAUAUCAUACUUGAUGCUAAUGCAGGCCCAUGAGAAGUAUAUAUGUGAUGUGAAUUUUCAGUUUUUUUUCCAUAUAUAUCUUGGCUGGCUAGUAUUAAAACUUAAUCUGCAAGUUCUGGUUUUCAUGAGUUUGGCCAAACAUGUAUAGAUUAUGAUCCCUGAAUUUUGACUUAAAACGAGGGUUUCCUUUCAUAUGAUGUAGAUUUUCUUGGAAACUUGAUUAAACCUGUCACCGGGUCGAAUCCGGGCCGGAAUUCAUUAUUCCGGACCUGGACUUGUUACUACUAUACCGGUUCCGUAUCCGGUCCGUUUACCCGACGGGUCUUCUACUCUAUGUUCCGGACCCGGAUCCGACGGGUCUACUCGAAUCCGGAUCUGGGUCCGGGUCUACCCGAAAAAAUAGCUAAAACUUGUUUUACAACAAAAUUAGAAAAAGUACUACUUUUUUUUAUUAAGAAAGGUCAAUUUAAUUUUGUCCAACAAGUAUUAUUUCAAUGUUGUCACUUGGUUAAAGUCUUAGCUGGGCUAUAUUGCAUGUGUUAAUUAACAUCUUCUAGAUAUAAUGUUUAGCAUUGAUAAAUACUUUUUGUAAGAUUCAAAUUCAUGCUUUUGCAACAGGUGUUGUAUAUGCCAAAGGCUCUGCAUGUCCGUGGAUAAUAUUUAGUUGUUUGGGCCUUUGGGGUAUAGAAGUAAAUUUGGGGUAUAAAUUUGGGAUAUAUUAUUGGUAUAUAUAUAUCUAUUUUAUAUCCGGAUACGGGUCAAAUACGGGCCGGAAUGAUAUAUUCCGUAUUUGACCCGUUUUUUUGUUUGACAAAACGGAUUCGGAUUCGGGUUCGGGUAAUGGAAUUAUAUCCCUACCCGGACACGUAAAAAAUUGAUAGAUCCGGGUCGAAUCCGGGUCUAGACCCGGACCGUUGACAGGCCUAAACUUGAUACAUGAAACUUAAAAGGUCGAAUAGAUAAAAUGAAGUCCGUGGGAAAUUUUUUUUCCCAUUUUUUUUUUUGAUUUGCAAGAAAAGUUUGGCUGGAAGGAGAAGACCUUUUAGAAGAGCUAACAAAAAUAACAAACCCAAAUAUUCGCUUGGAUUAUAAACUACAUAUGCAUUUGAAGAUGCAAACUAUUAAAACCUUCAACCUAUUUUGGGGCAAGAAAUUGCUUAUAGAAACAAAAACUCAGAGAAUUAAAUAGUUGAAUCUCAAAGAUAAAUGUAUAAUCCUAAUUCAUGUACACCUAGUCAAUAUGUGCUAUAUGAUACUAUGAAACUAAAGUAGCUAUUGACUAGUUUUUUUCCUUCGCCCAUUCAUGUACUCCAUUGCUUUAGUGCCACAGUUGUGCCAUAUUAUGUGGACCAAUGUUAGUAGUUUCCAAGCAUUUUAAACAAAAGCCAAAAAAGAUAGUAGGGUCUGAUUCAAAAGUUAGGAUAAAGAAUUUUCUGUGCACCAAAAAGUAUGUAACAAUUUCUAAUAAAGUCAGAUUUUUAGCAGAAAACAACAUACUGCUCUUAAUCUAUUUUGCUCAUCCAGUUUGUUGGAUAAGAUUGUUCCUACCCUAAUUAGCACUUUCCCGGAAAUGCUAAUGGAGCGGUUUACCUAAAAUGAAGUUCAUUCUGCAAGUGACAGCGUGAAAACAAAGACAAAGUCAAGGAUACAAAAAGUGAACUGAAAUAUAGAGAAAUUUCGGGUUACACAUAUUGUUUUUCCUUUCGGUACAUAACAAUCAAACGAAAAAUAUAUUCUCCUUCUUCACAAGAUUCUCUUUCUAGCUGCUGUCUUUUCCUGUGUUAAAUCUCACCUUAUUGUCCUUUUCAUUUAUUUCUUUUCAUUGGCAGAAAAAAUACGAGUUAGAAAGAUCCACAGAACUUAAUGGCACAAGCAAACAAGAAGACUGUUAAGUUCCAUCAACACCAUCUCUUUCAAUCACAUAACCGAACAACCACAACCAUUUCCCUACAUUUUCUAUUGAUUUCUUUUCUAUUCUUUUUUUCCCCUUUUCUUUCCUUCCCCUCCCCCCCCCCCACCACAAACAAACAUUUCCUGCCAAAACAAGCCCAAGUCCUCACCUCAUUGUUGCCUAUACUCAAAGCGAAUUGAGCAAGAAAAUAACUUGGACCACAACUCUUGCUACUCGGAAGCAGAAGAUUACAAACAGUGGGGGCUCGUGUUCUCGGCAGCUCCAUACAACGCUUACCCUUGAAUAAAUCAUACAUAUGUAUGACUAGUUUACCUUCAUAUAUAAUUAUUUUAGUUGGCAAUUAAGGAGCACUUUAAGUGACAAAGAAUUUAAACUUCCAUCUUAAAAUUAGUUGGCAAUCAGUAGAGUGGUCCAAAAUUUUAUCAGUGUGGCUAGAAAUCCUUGAUAUAUCAAUAUGAGGUAUUUAGUCUCUUAAGACUCGUGCUUGAAAUACUCGGAAUAUCAAUGUGACACAUUUAAUCUCUUAAUAUUAAGCUAAUCUUUUGCAAAUUAUAACAACUUCAAUAUCCAUAUUUAGUGCAUUUUUGUGAAUUUUAGAUGUAUAUUUUCCUUUAUGAAUUACUCAAAAUUUAUUUUAUGAUCUUUGUUCAUUAUUAGAUUAAGGAUAAAGAUGAGCAGAUAAGCAAAUCCAGUGUCCACAACAUUCCAUCCGGUCGAGGAAGGAGCUAGCUACCCCUCAUGGCAAGGAUCAUUUGCAAUUGAAUUCCCUUGUCUCCUUUGUCCAAAGAGAGAGUGUGAUCCCACUUGCUUGACUGUUGUUUCAAUAAGGUACGCAGUGUCCUCAUGUGUAGCAUCUAAGACAUGGGCUGUCCAAAUCUGGACUAAACUCUUGAUCCCACUUGCUUGAUGGUUGUUUUUCACUCUUUUCUGUAAAUUUUCUUUCAUAUUUUUUAUGACAAAUAAUGCAUAUCAUCCGAAAAUGUUUUUGCGCCAUAAAAAUUUUGAUUUAAAAGUUAAAAUUUCUUUCUACGAAUAAUUUUUGUUAAAAUGAGGUAGCUUUUGCUUUUCAGGAAGCGUUUAUAAAAAAAUUUUCUAAAGAAGCAAUUUUCUUGAUAGCGCAAAAAAAAAAAUCACAAUCAGUAAAAAAGGAAAAAGAUCCGUUACUUAUGUCCACAUUCUGUAAGUUGCUAUCAGAACCAAGACCUUGAAUUUUGGUGGAUUAUCUAGCCGGAGGAUCCUUAGACUUGGACUCUUUAUAUUUCCGCGUACACAAACCGAUUUUCAGGAAUCAAGAGCUGGAGAAAUUUAGCCGCGCUGAAGGACCACUAUCAUUUUUACCAGUAUAAACUGUACCAGCCAUAAUGCAGCCAAAAACACAGUACUGCCAUGUAGGUUCGAGCCUCGUCAGUAUUCUUCGAGCCCCAUCGGUAUUCAUGGUUGGCCUUUAACCUUCUAUACACGCCACUUCUCCCGUUUGAUAGAACCGCUCGAUCCAUAUUAAGUUUAGAAGUAGACGAUGAUUUGGCUCCAAGAGAAGAUGGGAUGAAAAAGUGAAUGGUUUCUAUUGAAAAUUGCAAUUCUCUCAAAAUCCAACUCCCCUCAAAAGUACACAAGCUUAGGUUGUAUUACACUUGUUUUAAAGUACUUCUGGACUCGUAUAAUCACUUGCUUUCCUCCAACUAUCAUGCAUAUGAAAGUUAAAUGAGCUAAGACUAAAAUUAGUGAGAUCAGUUUAUUUCGAAUUCCCCUUCUGCUUUUCCGCUUCUUAAAUCCACCUCUACCCUGUUAGAAAAAAAUAAUUUAAAACAAAAAAAAAAAUAGUGGAAUCAACUUAAUUCUAACAAAAAUAUCUAGAGGACAUUAAAUUACAUCAACUGAAUGUACAGUUGAUGAAACUCAAAUUGGCGAUAGGAACAAAAUAGAUUGUCAUCAAUCACAAUAUGUUUACCAACGAAACAUUAGCUACAAGCGGCGUUGUCCAAUUUGCCGACUUGUCGAAGGUGGUACAACUUUGAAAGCUACACGCGAUGCUCUAGUGCAUUGUAUUGUGUUCUCUUCUGUUGGUACAAGACCAAAUUCAGCGACCAAUCCUGAUGAAUAAUUGGAUCUCAACUAACGCUCAUAAAGUAAUCUUUGGCUUAAUCCCAAAUUAGUUUGAUCAAGAUGAUAAAACUUUGAUUCAUGACAUUCGCAUUUGUUUGGCAUACAGUAGCUCUGUUAUUGUAAAUUGGGUUUCAAGGGAUGCAAAUGAAGUCCCUCAUGAAUUCAUGACUCUUGAUGCCAAAUCUUCUGAUUUUGUUGAAUCCCUUUAGAAUUCCUUCCCUACUUUUAUCAAUCAUUUGCUAUUGGACGAUUUCCUAGUAAUGAAAAUUCUCUUUUUAUCAAAAAAAAAGAAGAAAGGAUGAUCAUCAGGGAAUACUAUAUAUAGAGGUGCAUAUCUUAUUACAUUGAUUUAGUAGAUCAGGGUUUUCUCAAAGACUUGAAAAUUUUAUUGAUAUAUACAUAUGAAAAUCAAAGAAGACAUUCAUUUUUCAAUGGCAAAAGUACAUAUUAUAUAGGAGAGGAAAAAAUAUCUGUAAAGAGUUUGACUGAUUGAUUUGGAUAUUAUGAGUUAGGGUUAGGGACCAUACCUUGUUGUGGGCAGGUGAAGAACCUAUUCGACCCCGGAGGAGGGAGGAGGAAUUAAUAUGUCUGGAUGGGACUGUUAUCGAGAGCUUUCAGUCCUUUAGGGAGGGACAAAUGGGGUAGUAAAGCCAUCUCUGGACCACCCAAUUUCGUGGCAUUAAGGCGUGGAUCAAACAUGCCAAGUUUUUGCUUCUACUCCUUGCUACUUAUAAAACCAAUCAGGAGAAUGGGCCAGAGGCUUUUCUAACAAGCUUUUUACGUUGGAUAUUCCUUUGAUUUUUUUUUUUUUUAUAUGUACAUAUUCUUUUAAGACUUGAUCUAGGUUAUCAUUCAUCUGGCUGGAGUAAGAAAAAGAAAAACAACCCCCCAAUGUUCUGGUUUAGCGAAUGGGCAAAAGCCAUGUAAUGACCAUAAGCAAAGGAUGCAAGAGUAAUGAGAGUUUGAGUUCAAGUUACCUUUUCAUCCCAAGAGAAAUCAAACUUUUGUCAAUCCACAUCAAUUGAUCCUAACAGGAUCAGUAGUUGCCUCGUCAGAAGGAAGAUUAGUUUCCAGAUUAUUUUGCAAGCUUUACCUUCGAGGUGUUAAAAGAAGUAAUCUCAACAUGUCAAGAUACUUCCUAUGCAGUUUGACACAAAUUGAUCGUUCAAGGAGGUAACCUCAGAUGUACAAGAGAACAAACAGCAUUUUAGCCCAUGCUUAAUGAUCUAUUCAUUAUGAAGACUAUUCCACAUCACUUGUCAAACAAAGAACUGGAUUACUGACAGACUUCUGUAUCUUUUUUUUUUUUUUUUUUUCACCUUAGCAAAACAUCAGGAACAGCCAAAAGAUCACCAUACCUCUCAAUGGAGUGUCCAAAUCCUGUUAUGCACAUCUUAAGGACACUAAUAGUCGAUCCUGGCUCAAUGAAUGCUGUCUUUCUGCAGAGAUUCCCUACGUUUGAUCAGGUAAGAUAUACUCAAUUUUCUGGUUAGGCUGCAUCCAGUUUAGAAUUUUGUUACAACACAUACAUUAUUAUUUUGUUGAAUCAAGUAAAAAGUUCUUCAGUACAAUAGUAGCUCGAAAACAUAUCUGCUACUUGCUUGUUCUUUACUUUCUAGGUGAAUCAACUUCAUCAUUUGUGUGGAGUCCACAACGUCAAAGUACUAAUUUACAGCAAGUUGAUUGUUUUGUUGUGGUUAUUUGCGUCUUUGGAAGACAAAUAGAGAACCCCUAGAGCCUUUUCCCAACCUAAUCUUCUCAUCUAUGUAUGUGAUUUCUAGCUUUACCUCACUCUGACCACCAUACCGAAACUCUAGUCCUCCAAACUUAAGUUCAGGUGCAUCAAAUACCACUUGUAUCCACUUUUCAUCCAGGACAUUGAGUUUCCCUGCAUAUGAGACGAAAAUUUAGUUGGAUAAAUGGAUGGAUUGCAAAGCAGCAUAGAAAGAGGAGCAGCCUAACAAGUGCAGUCAGUUAUAACUAGUAAUAAAUCCCAUUGUCAUUUACUAGCACCAACAAAAAGCUUAAUCGUUGUUAACUACUGAAUGACAUGGCAGUUUCCUUAGUACAGAUGAUAAUGUUAAGCAUCUUUGGAAAAGAAAAGCUAAGAGGUGCAAUCCUGCAACUGCCACCUGGGGUCCAUGAAUAAUCUUUCUUUGUUUUGGGAUGGGCUGGGGGCGGGGAUAGAGGAUGGGGACAGACAAAAUACCAUCUACAAUGCCCCAUAAAGGUGCAAACUGGAGCUAAGAGCCAAAUUUUCUUCAACUGUUACAAGCACAGGCUCGAGUCAAUACAUCUCUGGCUUAAGCAAGUCUGUCUCAACCAUAAAAAUGCACAAAAUCGUAUGCUUAGUCAGAUGCCAAGUUUAGGUGCAAGCAUCAUCUACACCUCUUAUUCACAGGCUUGAGUCACUACAUCUCUGACUUCAGCAAGCCUGUCUCAAGCAUACUAUUACACAGGAUUUUUAGCUUAUUUGGAUGCCAAGUUUAUGUGCAGUUAUCAUCUACACCUGUUAGUGACAAAAAAAAAUUUUUUAAAUCAACUUGGCUGCAGAAGAAAUUGGAGCUUAUAUGUAACAAUGGAGUAGGUCUAAGUUGCAAUUGACGUUAGACUAUGAGCAUCCCUUUUUACUUGUUUAGCAUGUAUGCAUCACACAUUCACCAGAAUUUUCUGUUCCAUCUAUUUUCUGAUUAUAUUAAUGUGCACCAAUCAAUUCCUGCAAUUCAAAUUUGCCACUGCACUGGCUGAGGCAUAACAGGACCGCAGAAACAGGAUGCUAACUUCUGCUUGGCAGUUGGGGGUGGAAGGGUGUGGGGAGGGGUAGGAAAAUUAAAAAAAAAAAAAAAGGAUAUCCAAUUCCUUGACAACAUUAGUACACUUAAACACUAUUAGGGCUAAUAUUGGAAAAUUUGGACAUAAUGUAAUAUUCCAAGCAGUCUUUAAGGUACUUUCUCAAACAACUAUGUCGCUCUUAUUGUGCAAUUUCGCAUAAAACCAGCUCAAAUAUUGUAAUUACCCAACCAAUGAGCCUCAACUAUGACUCAAAAGCUUAUAUUCAAGUUUAUGACAGUGGUGCAUUUCUGUGUCUGUAUGGGCCUUUUAAACAACCAUCAAAAAUUCAUGGCAAGGGUGUCCUAUCAUACAACUUGAAACGUAACAAUAGAAGCUUCACUCUAAAUGCAUGUGAAACUGAGCAUGAACACAACAUUAUAUUUGCAAUGACUGAAUGUAACAUGCUCAGGAAUGUUAAAAUACUUUUUCGGAAGAAACCCUGAAUAAAGAUCCAAUAAAAAAGUUUCCAGAGUUAGCACAGAUAAGGAGGAAGACACAAAAUUGAAGAGUAAACCAAGUUUAUUACCUUCUAAAGAGACCUCCCCGUCAACAAGCCCUAGAAGUGAGAAGGACACUUUGUUUCUCACUAUAUCAGGAGCUUCAACAACCUGAAUCAUUUCUUUUG